AGAAGGAAGUCAACUUGCUGGGUAUUGAUAACCUGGCAGAAGUUCAAAUACAUGAUCUUUUUGAAUGCCAUAAAUGCAAUAUGACAUUUGAUGAGAAGGAUGCAUAUUUACAGCACCUUUUGUCAUUUCAUCAAAGGACUACAAGGAGGUAUAGACUUGGUUCUUCUGUUGGGGAUGGUGUGAUACUUAGAGAUGGAAAAUUUGAAUGUCAAUUCUGUCAUAAGGUAUUUCAUGAACGUCGUCGGUACAAUGGUCAUGUUGGGAUACAUGUCAGGAAUUAUGUGAGAGGAAUUGAAGAUUCACCUGGUUUACUGACUCUUCCAAGGAGAACUGAGGUUGCAACUAAGCAAGAGUCGGCCCCAAGGAUCUCUAAGAUGGAUGCUUUAAUUGAAAUUGCGCAGAAUUCUAUUCUUGAAACUACUACUACUGUGCCUAGAUAUGAACUCAAUGAUGGAUUAAGUCCUGAUAAAUUGAAUGCAGCUUCUAAUCCAGAAAUUCCUGCUUCUACUUCCGAUCAUGAAAUGAAUUCUGAUUCUCCUUUAAGUGAAUCUGGAACAGAGGAUGACAUGACUUAUAGAUCUGUGAAUAAAGAUUUAUGUCAACAAAACAGUGAGCCUAUGAUCCUUUCUGAAAAGACAGAGAAGAUUGAUGAAGCUAGCAAUGUUGUGAAUAUGGAUUCUCUAGUGGAUGCUACAAUUUCUGCAUCUAUGGAUGAGCAAAAUGGUAGUAUAUCUGAAACUUUUGUCCGGAAAGAUAGUUUAACCUUUCAUGCUGAUGAACUCAACAAGUCUUGUAGUGAGCAGCAAAGAAGUUCUGAAAGCAACUUACUUCUUCUCUCCACGGGCCAGGGUCUCUGUGAUGUUGAGAAUAAUGUCAAUUUAGUUGGUGCUGGCGCAAGAGAGCAUCAUAAACCUGAAGAGGUGGAUAACAAUGAGAAUGCUGAGUUAGAUAUUGGUUUUGGAAACGGUUGUGGGCCAGCUGAAGAUGUUGCACCAGAGACUAUACAUCAAACAUCUGAAGAAAAUGUACUUCAGGCCGAAGGGUCUGACUCAUCAAUGUCCCUAUUGCAACCUCUAAAUGGUACAUUGGCAUCAAAUGCAAUCUCAGAUAAGGUAUAAAGCCACUGUUCUGUUUUUUUGUUGCUUUAUUAGUUACAAUGUGGUGUAAACACUUUUGAGAAUGUUGUGAUAUUCACAAAAUCCUUAUACAUUUCCAUUUCUAGAUAGUUAUCAUUUACAUUUUUCUUUUGCUGUCCAAUUUGACUCAGUCUGGUUGCAUAGUUGCCAUUGAUAAGCGUUCCUUAUUAAUUGAUUACAUUGGUUGAUCUGGUUCAUCAAAAGUUUUAGUUGGUUCCUUAUUGCUCUUCUUAUGAUUAGUUUCUAAAUGUUGUUUAUAAUUUUUUUUAACUAAAAAAAAAGUUAUCUCUAGAUUGGAAAGAAGAUUGUAAACUUUGUAGUUUAUUUUAUAUUUCGCUGUAGACACUAAAUAUGGUUGUGCAAUGCGACAUAGUUAUUGUUUUAUUGUUAUGACAUUGUUUUGUUGUUAUGAUAUAAAUUUAAACCAUGCAUUGAUGUUUUUAUUUAUAUGCUAAAUCUUUUGCCCAUAAUAGUAUCACACUAUUGCAGUUUUAAAUGUCAUAGCUUUCUUACAGAUGUUAGAUCUUCUAGGUAAAAUGGUUGGCUGAACUUAUUUCACCAAAGAAAUUAGUUUAAUGAACUCCAUGUGUAUUUGCAGGGAGAAGAUGGUUUAUGCAGCAUUGAUCGGAAGCAUGACAAUGUAACAGGAUUUGAUGAGCUGAGGUUGGAUGAAAUAGAGCAGAUAAAUUUAAGCUUUGGUGGUGUACAAGAAUCUCCCUCGUUGCCAGAGGUUCCGGUAGAUUUGGCUAAUAAUCCAGAUAUAGGAGGUGCUUAUGGUUCCUCAGUUCAGUUUGAAUCAGAAGCCUUGUUAAAUAUGGCUGGCAAGCAUCAGCUUACAACUGUUUGUGUGUGGUGUGGAACAGAGUUCGACCAGGAGGCUAUUGAUUCUGAAAUACAAUCAGAUUCGGUUGGUUACAUGUGUCCGACCUGCAAGGGCAAAUUUCUAGGCAACUCAAUGCAUUAAACAGUGGUUCAGCCAUGCCCUUUGUUUUGUAUAGAAGGAAAAAUAAAAAAGAAAAGAAGAAGAAAAAAACAGUGGUUCGGCUAUGAAUUAUCACCUCUCAGUCAAGCCUUUCAUAUUUGAGUUUUAGAACAGGAAUUACUUGAUGUGGGUAACUUCUAUUAACUUUUUAAUUGCCUAUUGCUGAGCCCUUUGUUAUGUUUUUCCUAGCUAUUGACUUUGUAUGGCUUCUGGCUGCUUUGAUAUAUGUAUAUAUCUUCUUAGAUAUUGGUAUGUCUUAAUUUGUUAUUGUCUCUUAUGCAAGAUUUGUGCAAGUGGUUAGGUUAUGUGAAUUAGAGUAAAAAGUUAACUCAAAAAUAGAGAUAAGGGCAUAAUAAUUACAGUAUCUUGUGAAGUAAAAUGAUAGAUAAAGUACAGGAGUAGAAUUUGGGGCAGAAUAACGAAUAUGAUAAAGUCUUUUUAUUCAGUGAUCUGUUCAAAUAGCUGAUAUAUGAUAGGUUACAUGAAAUCUUCGUAGACAUUAGGGGUUCAAGAAAAGUAGCAGUCUGGGGUUUGUAUUAGAUUGAAGAAAAAAUUUCAGGGCCCGUUUCUCAACUAGGAGUGAAGCAGCCUAGUCUAGGGUCUAUUUGGUUUCUGGCGCGGUGGCAGCAGAUAUAAAUGCCUGCAGAAAUCUCAGGAAACCAACUAUUUUAUAAAGAGAACAAAUGGACAAUUAAUUAGCUAUCUUAGCAUCUGACAAUGCGCCACAAUGACCUAAGCAAGUCGUAGAUUCAUUAAGGCUUUAAUGGUAUAGUCUUUGUACCAUGAUUAUUUUUCAAUUCAUAGAUUUUGCUGCAUACAUCACAUAUGAUCUGGUAAUUUGAUGUGAUCAAGUGGCAGCAAAGGUGGUAAUUGAUGUGUCAAAUGCAUCUGUUAUAAUUGAGGAUUUUUUGGAUAUAAAUAAAAAAUUAAGAGUUGGUUUGGAUAUGAUAAAAGAUUAGGAACUUAAUCAGAAAAAUGACCAAGGUCAGGGGCUUUGUUUGCCAUUCAUUAAUUAAAUACUUAAGGAUAGCAUAAUUUUGUUGACACUUGAAAUAUUCCUUAUACAACUUGGCAGAGCAUUGUCGACAUACAACUUGGCAGAGCAUUAUCGACUAUCUUAAAAGUAGGCCAUUAGAAUCCUCGUUAAAACUGAGGGCUCAGCCUAAUUAUUAGUACUAACAACUGCCAAUCAUACUCAGCUAUGGUGGAUAUGCUAGUGAUCUGUUGUGAAGUUGCAUGCAUAUUACUACUGUAUCUGUAUUGUAUUUGUUUGACAUGCUCUUGCUAUAACUCAAGUAGUUGGUUUGUCGACUUUCAUUCAGUGAAACCCGAAACACGAAAGAAUUUUGGUCUCAUGUUCUGGACAAUAACCUGGCUUCAACUUUCAUCUGUAACAUAUUUAACCUUUCUAACUAAUCUAGAUUAGGUUGUCAUAUAUAUGUAGUAUAUUCACGUUCCACCUCUAUAUAACUGCCCGAACUUCUGUUGCUGUUUCAAAAGAGAUAAUCUAUCAAUAUCCUAACCAUUUGAUCUGUGAAGUUUCCUGUUUCCUUUCAUUCUGUUUUCUGUCAUACCUAUAUUAUGAGAAUAUGAUUAUUAGUACUACUCUUAUUUUGGUGUCGGCAAAUGGAAGAUAAUGUCAGUUGCUUAUAUGAAUUGGUAGCACAGUGAUAUUCGACUUGUCCAUCAAUUUGUGAACCAGAAUUAAACCAAAGGUACCCUCGGAUAUCUUUGAAUAUAGAAAAGCUCUGGCUUUUCUUUUUCAUUUUUGAGUUUGGAUAAGAUUUUUGAAAACCAAGAGCACUAAAAACAUUGUUAUUGGUCAAAAAAAAAAAAAAGAGAAAUCAAAGGAAGAAAGCUAUGAAAUGAAAUGAAUUGGAAGCAUUUGACAGCAUCGAAUUCAUGAUGGAAACUCCUCUAGUGGGAAAAGCAUAUUAUCACACAAUAUAAAGGUGUUCUCAUUAUGAGAGAUCCUUAAAUUAAUGAAAACCCUUUUUUGAUUUUUGGGUAAAAAGUGUUGGUGUUUUUUCAAAAUUAAAGGAUAUUUCACAUGAUGGAAGAGCUAUCAUUAGCUUAAAAGUUAUGUUACGAAAAGUGACAUAAUGUGUCUAUUAGAUAUAUACAUGUUUUCAUGUGAAUGGUUAUGUCUCUUGGAAGUUCAUAUCCAAAAGUUAAGAGACAUGAUUGAAAAGACACCAUUACUCAAAAGUUAAAAUGAAUAGUUAUUAUUUCAAGAUAUAACUCAAAGGUUAUAACUUGUGGGAUGUAUAGUUAUCUAUUCAUAAGAUGACUAUUGAAACAAUAACUAUAUCUAAAAAUUGUAUUGGCAAAAAUCAUAAAGAUACUUUCUAGACAAAGAGGUAUCUUUAUGAAGAGGUUGUGUCCCUAAAGAAGAGACACUUGGAAGCCUAUAUAAAGGGCUUAGUGCCAACAAUUUUAGACACACACAAAACACCAACACCAAAACAUACCAAAGAUACCAAAAGUGUUAUGUUUUAUUAUAAACAUAAACACUAGAGUUCCCACCAUCUUCAAGAUAUUCCGAAUUCCUUAUCAUUUACUUGUUGCAGAAAGUUGGUUAUAAGGCCAAGCAACUUUACAAACUCUCGGGUGUAUCUAGUGGUCUUCUUCGUCAGUGCAAUAUGAAAGUUAGACGUUGGCUUCAUUUUAUCCUUGAGACUAUUCGCGUUAUUCCUUUUUGCAUAUCGAGUGGUGGGGGCGAAAUAAGUCUUAAAGAUAGACUUCUAUUUGAAAGGUUCGCCUUGAAGCCAAUUUUGCCUAUUCUUGAAUAUCGUAUCAAAAACCCCUAUAAACACCAACAGUUUUAAUACUUAUUUUCAUGGUAUUCAAAAUGACUUCACUUAAGGAGAUGGCUACCAACUUUGUCAAGUUAGAUCGCUUUGAUGGAGGAGACUUCAUUCAAUGGUCGAAAAAGAUGCGCUUCCUCCUCACGACACUCAAGGUCGCAUAUGUUCUAGAAACACCACGACCGAGUGAGGAAGAUGGUGAAGAAUCCAUGGAAAGAACUCGUUCGAGGUAGAAAUGGAAUAAUGAUGACUACAUAUGCAUGGGACACAUUCUCAAUGGAAUGUCGGAUGCAUUGUUCGAUGUGUACCAGAACAAGGCUAGUGCAAAGCAACUUUGGGACAAGUUGGCAGCACGAUACAUGGUGGAAGACACAAGCAAUAAGAAAUUCCUGGUUAGUCGUUUCAAUAACUUUAAAAUGAUUGAUAAUCGUUCUGUUAUGGAGCAAUUGCAUGAGCUUGAACGCAUUCUCAAUAGCUUUAAGCGACAUGGUCUUAAAAUGGAUGAAGCUAUUGUGGUUUUUUCAAUAAUUGAUAAGCUUCCUCCUUCAUGGAGAGACACAAAAAAAUUCUUUAAACAUAAAAAGAAGGAUAUGUCUCUCGAAGACCUUGGUAAUCAUCUUCGAAUAGAAGAAGAUUAUCGGAAACAAGAAAAAGUCAAGCAAGAUGAAAAAGAAAAAGAUUCUAAUGAGAAGAAUCUUGAGACUUCAAAGGUCCAUGUGAUGGAAAUCAAACCAUCAAACAAACCGGUCAAAAGAAGACAUUCAGCGCGUAUGAAAGACAAAAGUCUUAAGUUCAAAAGGAACAAAAAAAGGCCAUGUUUCUAUUGUAACAAACUUGGUCACUUUAAGGCGGAAUGUAGACUUCUGAAAAGCAAGACACAAGGUGUGAACAAUCACAAGUUUGUGGCUGUGGUUUUCGAGGUCAGUCUUCUCCAAGAUUAUGGAGCAUGGUGGAUUGACACUGGUGCAACUAAUCAUGUAUGUAACAACAAAAGUUUCUUUAAGACUUUGGAAGAAGUUGAUGAUGGAAACGUGCUAUACAUGGAAAUUCCUCCACUGCACAAGUGAAAGGAAAAGGCACCGUGGAACUUGUGUUUACUUCUGGAAAGACACUUGUAUUAAACAAUGUCUUUUAUGUACCAAAAGUAAGAAAGAACCUUGUGUUAGGUGGCUUGUUGAAUAAGUAUGGCUUCAAAUUAAUAUUUGAAGCAGAUAAGUUCAUCUUUACAAAAUGUGGACAAUAUGUGGGAAGCAGAUAUUAUUGUGAAAACAUGUUCAAGCUUAAUGUCAAUAAAAGUAUUGCUAGUUCUGCUUAUAUUGAUGCAUCGUUUCAUGUUCAUGAUAGUGAAGCAAUCCUAACCAAUUUAUGGCAUAAUAGAUUAGGUCAUGUUCACUAUAGAAGAAUGCAUGAUAUGGCUAAAUUAGAAUUAAUACCCAACAUUGAUGAAAGUAAUGAUAUGUGCAAGACAUGCAUGGUCACUAAAAUCACGAGAAGUUCAUUUCCUAAGGUAGAAAGAAGCACUAAAUUGCUUGAAUUAAUACAUUCUGAUGUUUGUGACAUGCAUAGUACUCAUUCUAUCGGUGGAAAGAAAUACUUCGUAACAUUUAUUGAUGACUUCUCUAGAUAUUGUUAUGUUUACUUAUUGCAUGCUAAAAGUGAAGCAAUAGAGAAAUUUAGAAUUUAUAAAAGAGAAGUUGAAUUGUCUUGUGAAUUGUUUGUUAAAUGUUUACGAAGUGAUAGAGGAGGUGAAUAUUAUGAUCCCAAGUAUUUUGAGUCCACUAGAAUUAUACAUGAAACUACCACUCCAUACACACCGGAACAAAAUGGUGUAGCGGAACGUAAGAAUCGAGUUCUUACAGAAAUGGUCAAUGCUUUGCUUUCUAAUUCGGGUUUGGGAAAAGGAUUUUGGGGUGAAGCCUUAUUAAUGGCUUGCCAUAUAUUAAAUAGAAUCCCAAACAAAAGGAGUAAAACUACUCCUUAUGAACUAUGGAAAGGACGAAAGUCGAACCUUAAUUAUUUAAGAGUUUGGGGAUGUCGAGCCAUAGUAAGGGUUCCGGAGCCAAAGAAAAGGAAAUUGGGUGAAAAAUGAAUUGAAUGUAUAUUCAUAGGAUAUGCUGAACUUAGUAAAGCAUAUCGUUUCCUGGUGAUAGAGCCUAAUGAUUCAUAUUCCGUAAAUACGGUUAUAGAAUCAAAGGAUGCUAUCUUUGAUGAAACAAGGUUUAACUCAAUUCCAAGACCCAAUGAACAAAUAACAAAAAGUGAUAGUUCCUUAGAAAAUGACGAGAAAACUAUCAAGCUUCGGAGAAGUAAAAGAAUUAGAAAAGCAAAGACAUUUGGAUCCGAUUUCCUCAUAUACUUAGUAGAAGGUACAAUGGAGGAAACAUGUGAAUACCUACCUUAUUGCUUUAAUGUAGAAGGUGAAGGUGAUCCUCAAACUUAUGAGGAGGCAAUGAAGUCUCAAGAUGCUUCUUUUUGGAGAGAAGCAAUACAAGAUGAGAUGGACUCAAUAAUGGGAAACAAAACAUGGAAAUUGGUAGACCUUCCACCAGGUUCCAAGCCAAUAGACUGUAAGUGGAUUUUCAAAAAGAAAAUGAAAGUUGAUGGAACCGUGAAAAAUUUUAAAGCAAGGCUAGUGGCAAAAGGUUUUAAACAAAAGGAAGGUGUUGAUUAUUUUGAUACAUAUGCACCGGUAGCAAGAAUAGCUACAAUUAGAGUGUUUAUAGCACUUAAAUCUAUAUAUAAGAUAGUAAUUCACCAAAUGAAUGUUAAGACAACAUUCCUAAAUGGUGAAUUAGAUGAAGAGGUGUAUAAGGUUCUUGUCAAAGAAUUUUGAUAUGAAAGAUAUGGGCAUGGCGGAUGUUAUUCUUGGUAUAAGAAUAAUGAAAGACAAUAAUGUCCUAAUAUUGUCUCAAUCUCAUUACAUUGAAAAUAUUGUAAUGAAGUAUGGAAAGUCAGAUUAUAUGCCUAUGAAUACGCCUUAUGAUUCUAAUCUAAGGCUAGUAGCCAAUGAAGACAAGCAAAUAGCACAAAAUGAAUAUGCAAGGGUGAUUGGAUGCCUUAUGUAUGCAAUGGUCUGUACAAGAUCGGAUAUUGCAUUUGCGGUUGGGAUGCUAAGUCGGUUUACAAGUAAUCCGAGUAAACAACAUUGGUAUGUUGUUCAUAGAGUUCUAAGGUACUUAAAGAGUACAAAGAAUUAUGGCAUCUACUAUUCAGGUUUUCCUUCGGUUCUAGAAGGGUAUACAGAUGAAAGUUGGAACUCAAAUAGACCGGAUUACACAUCCACGAUUGGAUGGAUUUUUACACUUGGUGGGGGUGCUGUUUCUUGGGGUUCUAAAAAAUAGUCUUGUCAAGCGGACUCCACCAUGGCGGUUGAAUUUAUAGCCUUAGCAUUUGCCACCCAAGAAGCGUAAUGGUUGAUAGACUUACUUUAUGAAAUUCCGUUAUGGCCUAAGUCAAUGGCACCAAUCUUGAUAUAUUGCGAUAAUGAAGCAAUUGUAUCAAAGGCAUAUAAUCAAGCUUACAAUGGAAAGAGUCGAUAUAUUGGACUUCGACACAGCAUUGUAAGGCAAAGGAUUAGUGACAGUAUAGUCACUAUAAGUUAUGUGAGGUCUGGUGAAAAUUUAGCGGAUCCGUUUACUAAAGGUUUGAAAAAAGACAUGGUUAUAAAGACCUCAAGGGGUAUGGGUCUCAAGCCUAUUAAUUAAAUCGCCAAUGGUGGGAACCUCGACGCUUGCGGCUGACCUGCAAGUCUUAGGUAAUGACCAUUCUACCACAUGGUGAUUGCAAGCACUAAAUUAUAAUUUCCAUCCCAAGGUGUAUAGUGCUUGGUUCUCGUAAUGUGUAAGGUAAGGCUGAACGAAAAGUUCUUAAUAGACCCAUAACAUAUAUAUGUUGAAGUACUAUAAUUACAGGGUACUUCUGAUGGGGGCUACCUAUAUGAGUGGAAGUGCGACCGCUUUUAGGAGUUAAACGCUUGACUCUGACAGCACUCAUGAAUGGAUACAAAACUCAUGGCCAUAAACGUGUUGGCAAAACUAGAUACAAUGUAAGCAAGGAAGCUUGUGUGUGUUUAGUGGCCCGAUUAGUCAAUGAAGAAUCGAUGGUUCAAUGCUUGGUCAACCACUCAAUUCAGACUAGAACCAACCACACUCACUAAGUGAAGGUUCAAAUCUGUGGCAUACCUUCAUUUAUGCACAAGUUUCCCAAAGUUGUUGGUAUUUGGAAUUUUGAAAAUGGUGGGGGAUUGUUGGUGUAUUUUCAAAAUUAAAGGAUAUUUCACAUGAUGGAAGAGCUAUCAUUAGCUCAAAAGUUAUGUUAUGAAAAGUGACAUAAUGUAUCUAUUAGAUAUAGACAUGUUUUCAUAUGAAUGGUUAUGUCUCUUGGAAGUUCAUAUCCAUAAGUUAAGAGAGAUGAUUGAAAAGACACAAUUGUUCAACAGUUAAAGAGAAUAGUUAUUGUUUCAAGAUAUAACUUAAAGGUUAUAACUUGUGAAAUGAAUAGUUAUCUAUUCAUAAGAUAACUAUUGAAAUAAUAACUAUAUCUAAAAGUUGUAUUGGCAAAAAUCAUAAAGAUAUUUUUUAGACAAAGAGGUGUCUUUAUAAAGAGGUUGUGUCCUUAAAGAAGAGACACUUGGAAGCCUAUAUAAAGGGCUUGGUGCCAACCAUUUUAGACACACACAAAACACCAACACCAAAAUAUACCAAAGAUACCAAAAGUGUAGAGAGCAAGAGCAAGAAAGUGUUAUGUUUUAUUAUAAACAUAAACACUAGAGUUUCCACCAUCUUCAAGAUAUUCCGAAUUCCUUAUCAUCUACUUGCUGCAGAAAGUUGGUUAUAAGGCCAAGCAACUUUACAAACCCUCGGGUGUAUCUAGCGAUCUUCUUCGUAAGUGCAAUAUGAAAGUUAGACGUUGUUUUCAUUGUAUCAUUGAGACUAUUUGCGUUAUUCCCCUUUGCAUAUUGAGUGGUGGGAGCGAAAUAAGUCUUAAAGAUAGACGUCUAUUUGAAAAGCUCGUCUUGAAGCCAAUUUUGCCUAUUCUUGAAUACCGUAUCAAAAACCCCCAUAAACACCAACAAAAAGAAGCACCACUUUACUACAAAAAAAAGCAAUGCGAAUAGAAUUUGAAGCAGUGACUAUUUCAAAUUCCUAAUGGGGAAUCUCAUGAAUGGAUGGAUGUCCAUUAACAAGACUUAAAAUGCAUUGUACUUAGCUCAGGGAAGUUCAAACUUAUGAAUGUUGAUGUGUCAUUAUAAAGAGAAAAUCAUACCAUGAUCCUCCAUACGACCUAGGGGUCUGCUUGUUAUAGAUAUUAGUAAGACAAAAUAAAGAGAGAGAACAAAAGGAAAAAAAAUACAAUUAUAUAAAUCAUUAAAAUAUUAUCUUAUAGGUAAGGGUUUAGGAUUUAACUAAUGGGUACGUGAUCACUAAAUUAUAAAUUAAAAUUAGAUAAACAUAUGUAAUAAGUAGAAUCAGGGAAAGCAGGAGUAAAGCAGAAGCCUUAAUCUCAUCUCUGUAAAGAUAAGAUUAUAUAUCAUAUGAAAUUUGGGAUAUUUUGCAACUACCCCCAUGUGUGUAUUUUUCAGUAAGGUACCUGUCACUGUAUGCUUCAUCCCUAAGACGAAGCAAGAAUCAGACAAAGCAGGAGUAAAGCAGAAGCGUUAAUCUCGUAGCCGCAGAGUUUGAAAGGAAAACGCAUCUGAUUCUUGCUCUUUAUUCUUCAGUAGAAUAAAGAAAUGAAUCAGUGGCCGAAAGGUUAAAUAAAUAAAUCAAUCACUAAAGUUUCCAUUGGAUGAUCACAAAAGCUAUGGCCUCACCUUGGUUUAGAUUUUGAAUUCCUUAAGUUUGUAUAUAUGCUUCAGGAGCCUGCUCUAAUUAAUUUGUAUAAUCUCUUGAUUGAAUUAACGAAUUUUCUUUUUACUGUUUCAUGAAUGUUAUUCAUUCAAUCCACCUUGAUCCGUCUUUAUUCGUCCAAAUGCUUGGACGUCAUUUGUUAAUCGAACAUUAAAAGUUAAGCAACUUGGGCUUAAUUCACGAGGAUUGGAAUAAAUCACCUAAAGUUAUCCUUAUCUUUCAAAAACAAAAAAGAAAAAAAAAAGAGAGAAAGUCUCUAAAUAUCAAAGUUAAGUCAAUCCAUUAAAAAAUGUCAUGAAUGUAUGAUGAGUAGAAUGAUUAGCUAAAAGUCUUGAUAUCAUUUAAGAUAUCAUGGGUAUAUAAAGCAGAAUGACUAGCUUUUUAAUUAGUUUGGAGGCCAACCCAUAAUUCUAAAGGAAAAAAUAUUGUAGAAAACUAACAGACUAAAUAAUUAAGCAGCGAAAGUGAUCAGUGCUUGAACAUGAAAUCCCCGGCUGCUAUCUCAACAAUAUUUGAUACCUAAGGAAUUUAAUUUGGUAAUUUCAUUUACCAUCAAGCUUCUAAUAAAUUUACUCCAAGCGGACAUAAUUUUCUCUUUUAUUUUCGCAUGAUCUUAUGCCUUGUCAUAAAGAUAAAUUGGACUCAAACAUGUGAACCGUGAGAAUUAAUGUAUUAAAAUAAGACAAACAAAAAUAGCAAAGGGUCGGGGUCAAACCAUCUUAAUGGCUUGGGCAUCAGCACAUAAAAUAGUUUGAACUCAGCCAAUAGAAUGAAGAAUCAUAAGAGAUUAUGAUUAGAUUACAUAUCUAAAUUUUGAAUUCUAAAGUUGUAAAUAUAAUAUUUUUAUAUAUAUCCGCGCAUAAUAAUAAGAUAAAGUUAGAAGCAAGGAAUGACGUAGAAGUGGCCCUUGGCCUUGUCUGGACCUUUUCUCUCUGUUUUGUUAUGUUCCAUUUAGACUUCAAAUAAUAAGUUUCCUCCCGAUCAGGCAGCACACUUUUGCUUAGCCUCCAGGCUCGUAAAUGCUGCUGAGGCGAGAUGGAAAUUAAAAUCGUAUGUCAGCGUUGCAGGCUAAAGUUUGCAGCGGUAACCACUGCUGAGACACUUGUUUGUCCACAUUGCCUUAAGGUCAAUCCAAAUCGAACGUUACAGAGACGAACAUCUACCGGCGAUGAAAUAAAUUUUCCCUUUUGUUUGAAAGGCACUAGAGAUGAAAUAAAUGAUACCAUUGUAAGGCCACCGCCUCGAGGAGCCACACUGCAUGCAACCGUUGAUGCCUGCUACAGCUGCAGAGGCGAGAUGGAAAUUAAAAUCGUAUGUCAGCGUUGCAGGCAAAAGUUUGCAGCGACAAGCAAUGCUGAGGCAGUUGUUUGCCCACAUUGCCGUAUGGUCAAUCCUAAUCGAACGUUACAGAAACGAUCAUCUACCGGAGAUGAAAUAAAUUUUUCUUUGUUUUUGAAAGGCACCGGAGGUGAAAUAAAUGACACCAUUGAAAGGCCACUGCCUCGAGGAGCCAAACUGUAUGCAAUCGUUGAUGCCUGCUACAGCGGAACUGUUCUUGAUCUGCCUUAUGUUGCAGGAUGAACAAGUUAGUUAUUUGCAAAAUUCUUUGCUUGAGCUAUUAAUCAAUUUAAUCUUUAUUUGUCAUGCUUCACUAAUAUGCAGUCCAUCGUUGUCUCCUACAAACUUACUUCUUCCAGAAUAUCCGGUCCAUAUUUUCUUUUACAUUUCGUUUUUAAUUAUGUAGAGAAGGGUUCUGUAUAUGGGAAGAUCAGAGAAACCCUUUAUUUUACAAGGGUAUAAGUGGUGGACUAGCCUUCUGUUUUAGUGCUUGUGAUGAUAAUCAAAUCUCUACAGAUACCACUGUGAGUUACUCUUUUAUCAGGUUUACCUGAUUAAUUAUCUACCUGGAAAGGAUCUGAUCAGGUUUCAUCAAUUUAUGGUUAAGUUGGGAGAAGGGAAUUCGAAUUUGGAACCUUCCUUUUGAAAGUGUGAAUAGUUAAAAAUGAAGUUAAGCCUCAGGCCCUCAGCUGCAAUUAGGAAUUAAACAUUAUAACAAGAAAGAAGUAGAAAAAUGAAAAGAAUAUUGUUUUAUCCCUUUAAUACGUAAAAGGUAACUAAUAUCAAUUAGCUUAGAUUGUUGUUUAAAUUGUUUUCUUGUAGGCUUUCACUGGAACAAAUACCAGGACCGGUGCCAUGACAUUCAGCUUCAUUCAAGCUGUGCAACAUGAGCCUCGAUUAACGCAUGGCCGCUUGCUUAAUGCAAUGCGCAAUGCGAUUCGUGAUGUUAAAGCUGGUUUACGCCUAAAUGGUCCGAUUGCAACUCUCAUUAAUAAAGUAUUGUUUGGAACAACCACACAGAUAUUCUUCUUUACCUAAUUUGAUAAACACUAUGACAGUUGAAUAAUAAUAUCCUUGCCAAGUAAACGAAAUGAGUUCUUGAUUUGCAGGAGCCACAGAUAUCUUCAUCAGAGAAUUCGAUAUCUACUCAAAGCAGUUUGUGCUGUAGUAAUUUCCGUUAUCUUUCAUAAUUGUUUUUGACUAUUUGGCUCUGUAAUCAUUAAACAUUAAAAUGAUUAUAAGUAACUUAUUUUGUAUACUUUUAUUUGGUAUUUAAUAUUUGUAACCUUGUAAAAAGAAACCUCUCACAGUAGCUAGAUCCCACGACUGCAUGGGACUAGCUAAUAUUUUCCAGUUCUCUUUUAUGUUAAUCCGAUCAUAUGAUACAAGAAAAAGAUUUAUAGAAGGAAGAAUCAUAACGUUUAAUAGGUUCCUAUUAAUGAAUUCAAUACACAAGAUAUAUUCUGGUUAAUAUUAUCAAUGGAGGAGCAAGAGCUUGCGAGAAGUGCCAGCAAGCAUAUGAUUCAUGGAGGUUGGGCCAGUCGGAGGAUGGUGAAUGUGUGAAGUGGUGAAGCCACAGGGAGAGUACUUGCUCUUGCUCCUCUUUUUCUAGCAUUUCAAUGGUCUCUUCCAAUAACUUCUCUAGUUCAGCUCUUUCACUUAUGCGGAGCUCUGGUGCAUCGGUGCCAUUCCUAGCUCUGCAUAGCAAUGGCAACCAUGAUGUUAGCAUCUUCAGCUUCGUUUGCCUGAGGUUCUCUUUGUUGCCUUCUUCAGUUUCUUCCACUUCCAGGCCCAUUUCCUUGGCUUGUUUGAACAAGAAUGCUGCAUAUUUGAAUAAUUAAGCAAAAACAAGGAACAAGAAUAGGAGUAUAUGUUCAGAUAAAUCCAAGAGACUUUUUUAUACUGAAACAUAUUUGUCUUGAAUAAAUAACUGUGGCAAUUAAGAGUUUCAACUAGAACCUCCCAAAUAUCCAUCUAUCAAAUCACAACCUUUCUUUUGAGUCCUCAUAUUCUGUUGAAAUAUUAAAAUGGUAACUUUGUCAAAGCAUGAUCUUUACUGUCAUCACUUAACAAAUAUGUAUAAUUAGUAGGUUGUAGAUAUUUGGAGUCAAAGUCAUGGAUUUUAAAUUUGCUUGCUUAAGACUACUUAUUCAGCAAUUCCUCUUCAAAAAUUAGAAAUUGUUCGGUUAUAAAGGCAAAUACUAACCCAAGAUAUGCAAGCAGUCUGUUAGGGACCUCAUACACAACCUCUUUGUAUUUGUUAGGAUAGUCUUGAAUUGUAGUUGAUUAGGAUUGUUUAAUUCUUAUUAAAAUAGUAUACCUUUUUGAGAUAGUCUUUAAAUUUAGUUAGACUAGUAUAACAUAUCUUAAUUGUAUUAAGAUAAGAUUAUUAUACUUGGCCUUGUAAAAGGAUCCUAUGAGGUUAAAGAAUAGUCAUCACUUAGAUUUAGAGAGAGUGAAUUGAGUGCAUGUGAGAUAAGAGUUGCGAGUUUGAGACUGUUCUUGUAAUCUUCUUAUUUUUCUCUUAGUGGAUCUUUCUCUGUUGCUGUGCCCAUACACAUAAGUCAUCAAAAGACCGAACCACGUAAAUUCUUGUGUUCUUGUGGGUGUGCUUGAUUUCUUUCUUUCUUUAUUCUAUUGAUUGGGUAAGAUCUUGGGUAACUCUUUAGAGAUAACUCCGCAAUUUCCAUAACAAACGAGUAUAAGAGCUUUAAGGUCUUGAUUCAAUCUAAAUCUCGCGAUAGUAACUUUUCGACUAAGUAUGAGAUUGAAAAGUUUAAUGGAAAAAACAAUUUCAGCUAGUGGCGUGUUAAGAUGCACGCAUUCUUAGUGCAACGAGGACUAUUGAAGGCACUGAAUGAAAAAGGUCAUCUUCCCUCGAAUUUAUCUGAUAAUGAGAAAAAUGUCUUUAUGAAAAAAGCACAUAAUACUAUUCUCCAAGCUUUGCCUGAUGAGGUCUUAAGAGAAGUCACGAAUGAAGAAUCUGCUACUGCAGUGUGGCUUAAACUCGAGAGUAUUUAUAUGAUCAAAUUCUUGACGAAUUGGCUUUAUAUGAAGCAACGAUUGUAUACUCUUAAGAUAUGUGAAGGUAUGUCCGUCAAUGCCCACAUUGAUGAAUUUAAUAGGGUUAUUUUUUGUUUAAAGAAUAUCGAUGUUAAAAUUGAAGAUGAAGACUUAGUUUUAAUUCUUCUAUGUCAUUUUACCUCAAUUGUAUGAAAAUUUCGUGAAUACUAUGUUAUAUGGAUAAGAAACUCUCACUUUCAAGGAUGUAAGGGCAUCUUUAAAUUCGAAGGAAUUGAAGAAGAAAAAAGUUGGUGGUAUCUGAAAUGAAAAUCAAGCAAAAAGCCUAGUUGUGAAUAGAGGAGACGAUAUAGAGAAAGGUCUAGACAGAAAAAGUAAAUUUAGAACAAAAGGAAAAACUUGUUAGAAUUGUGGUAAAAAAAGGCACUUUCGUCAAAACUGUACCAAAUUCAAUAAUGAUGAAAAGAUCAAUAAGUCUGAAAAUACUGCAAACGUAGUUGAAGAUCAUUUUGAUACUUUUGAGGAAGUUGAUAGUGUUCUUGCAGUUACUAAUGGUAACUUAAAGGAUAUAGAUCUUGGAAUCGGCUUGUUGCUUCUACAUAUGUUCUAGGAGUGAUUGGUUUACAACUUAUCAAUCUAUUGAUAUGAGCAUUGUACAAUUAGGAGAUGAUUUUUCUCUCUCAAUUGUUGGGAUUGGCACAAUUCGAAUCAAAAUGUUUGAUAGUAUAGUAAGGACACUUGAGGUGAAACAUGUUCUUGACAUGAAAAAGAAUUUAAUAUCCUUGAGUUUUUUAGAUAAGAGUGGCUACAAAUAUAGUGGGCAAGAUGGUGUCUUGAAAGUAUUUAAAGGAGCCUUAACUAUCAUGAAAGGUAAGUUAUCCGGUGGCCUUUAUCGUUUAGUGGGAAGCACGAUUAUUGGAACUGCUUUUGUAGUCUCAUCCCAUGAUCUUGAUGAUGAUGUUACAUAUUUAUGGCAUAUAAGGUUGGGUCAUAUGAACAAAAAAGGAAUGACAAAAUUGAAUAAGCGUGGUUUACUGUGAGGUCAAAAGAUUGAGACGUUAGAUUUCUGUGAGCAUUGAAUCUAUGAGAAGUAACAUCAAGUGAAAUUUAGCAUUGCUACACAUCGAACCAAGAGUAAAGUAGACACAUUUACUCAUAUUUGUGAGAUCUUUCUUCGAUGGCAGCAAAAGGUGGAUUAUUAUGCAUGUGGACUUUUAUUGAUAAUUUUUCAAGAAAGGUGUUAACGUAUUUUUUGAAGGUUAUGAGUGAAGUGUUGACCACAUUUUUACAUUGGAAAAGAUUGAUAGAGAAGUAGACUAAGAAAAGGAUCAAGAGCUUUCGAACAAACAAUGGUUUGGAAUUUUGCAAAGGUGAGUUUGGUCUGUUCUGCAAAAGUUACGAAAUCAUUAGACAUCGCACUAUCGUCAAAAGACCACAUCAAAAUGAUGUUGUAGAAUGGAUGAAGAGAACAUUUUCGGAAAGAGCAAAAUGCAUGCUCUCUAAUGCUAGUCUACCCAAAGUAUUUUAGACAGAAGCUAUCAACAUGGCUUACUACUUGGUAAAUCGGUCUUCAUCAACUACAAUUGAAUUUAAGACUCUCGAGGAAGUUUGGUCUAGUAAGCCCACUGAUUACUUUAUAUUGAGAGUACUUGGUUGUCUUGUUUAUACUCAUGUGAGUGAUGGUAAACUUAAGCAGAGGGCGACGAAGUGCAUAUUUCAGUGUUAGUGUAAGCCCUGCAAGCCAAUCGAUUUUGUGCUUGUAAAACACUAUAUUAAUUAGUCAUAUUUCAUGUUAAAUAUAUUAUGGAUAUUUUAUAUAAUGUAUGAGGUAUUUCUUUAUCCAAGAGUUUAUUUAUAAAGAGUUAUGAGAGACUUAUGUAGAUAAAGUCAUUGGAACAUAAUGGCCUUGCAAAGAAAUUAUAAAGGUUAUAAUUAUGAGAUUCUUAUGCAUCAAAGCCUUGUUCCUAAAUAUGUUAUUGGUCAUUGUAUUGUCAAGAAUAAGGGCAUUGACAAUGAUCAAAGGCUAGUACAUGUUAAGCCUCCUUACUUUAGAAGUAAGCAAUUGAUCUCAUAAGUUGAAGUAUGUUAGAUACUUAGGGAUAGUAUGUGGGUGCUUGUUAAGGAACAAGUUCACUGAACAUGACCCGCUACGAGAGUUCCAUUUGGUAUUUCACUCAAGUGUCUAUGAAAAUACUCUCAUGUGUCAGUAGUGUAAGUAAUCCUUAGACUUGUGAUACCAGGUCAUCUUGUAUGUGAAUUGUCAUGCUUUGAUUUCACCUUUACGAGUCUGGAGAUGACCAAAUGCUUAAACAAGGUGCUUUUGGGUAAGGCAUGAAGCAUGCGAAGAUGAAUGAGUAGUCUAGAGAGGAUUCAUCACCCCAAGUGAUUUGAAGGGGACAUAUCUCAUUUGCUCCUGGCUUAUAUUGAUUGAAAGUUCUUGGCCAAGGCAGUCUUGAUAGGUCAAUCUAGAAGCUGCAGGACUAAUAUGGAUAAGUUAAAAAGUAGACACCAAGCUAGGCUUUCUAUCUAUAUGGGAUAUAUGAUGAAAUGAUCGAAUUACAUUGAGAUACUAUACACUCAAAAGGUUAGUCAAAACAUAUUAACUCUCAUGACAUUUGGGUGGUCAUGAUAUAUUGCUAGAUGCCGCUCAUGAUCUAUAAAAAUAAAUAUAAAUUCUUGAUUGAAUUAAUUUAUAUUUAUUGCCAACAUGUUGGGAACCUAAUAGGUCACACACAUAAGGUGAAUUGUCAAAAUUAAUUUGAGUUCAAUUGGAUGUGAUCUAAUUGAUUUUAUAGAGGCUUAAUCUAAUUAAGUAUUGGGCUAAAUCAAAUAUGAUUUGAUGGAAUAUUAAAUAAAGGCCCAAUUGGCCCAAGACAUUUUAUAAUCCUUAUUGGUUAUAAAGUAGGUCAAUUAACUCUAUAAAAGAAUCCCUUAGCUGCCUCUUGAAUAUAUAGAAGAGUUCUAUUUUAUUUUCUUGAGUGUUCAGAUAGAAUCAUAGCCAAAAGAGAGAAACACAAGGGAGCUCAAAGUUGAGAGUUUGCUAGCACAAACUUCAGCUUAGGGAUUCACACACUCUUAGUAAAGAGAUUUCAACAAAUCACUGUGUGGAUCACCAUUAGAGGUAGGACAACUGUGCUGUUGUGGUUUGAUAAGUCCUAGUUGGUGUACAAAAGUUAAAAUGAAAAGCCAAAGAGGACUCCACCAAAGAAAGCAGACUUUCAGGUAUGUCCAAAUUUCUUUUGUGGUUUUUCUAAUUAGUUUCAAUUAAAGUGAUCCAUAUGGCUUUAGGGAUUAAAAUUUUAAUAAUAUUUUGCUACGUAUGAGUUGUCUUAGCAUGAUUUAAAUCCUGAACAAGGUGCAUAUAUUUUAUAUAUGUAUUAUAUAUAUAUAUAUAUAUAUAUAUAUAUAUNAAAACUGUUUUGUUUAUAUGUCGAUUUGAUGCAAAGUUUGAAAAAAUUAUUUAGAAUAAUUCUGAAUGGAUUUUUUUCAAAACUAAUUUAUGUUUCAAAAAGGCCUUUAAAGUCUUGAUUUAUGGAUUUAAAAUCUAGAUUUAAUAAGUCCUUAAAGAUUUUAUAGAUUUGUUUUAAGAGAAUCCAAAUCUAAAAAAAUCUGGCAGCAUAACGUGAUCUAUUUUUGAAAUUUUUUUUAGGGACUUAGAGAAUGAGUUUUGUACAUGAUUUUUAGAGGGUAGAAGGUCAAGAGGAUGAUCUCAACCUCUGAAAAUUUACAGCAUUUAAUUACCUCGUUUGGGUGGUGAUCUGACGAUGUUCUGCACAAACAGUUUGCUAGAAUUGUAUUCUUGUGUGACAAGGACUUGCAAAAUCAUGGCUAUUUGUAUUCUGAAUUUGCUGAGGUUUUGAGAGCUUUUUGGCAUGAUGUUUGAGGCAUGGGAUGUCUCUGAAUUGGUGUCAAAAUCGCAGCAAACAAUGGAGUAUGGAGCUUCAAAGGAUUUGGGACAGCUUAGGUGAUGCAAACCUAAUAAAAUUACACUAGCAUGUGCUAUUUCUUCUCUAUAUAAUUAAGAGUUGUACUAAUUUGGUUGUGACCUGAAUUUAGACUCUUAAUUGUAAUAGAAUAUAUCCUAAAGAGUUUAGGAUUGCCCCAAAUAUGAUUCUAAAAUCAAAUUGGCAAAGAAAUAGGACUCUUGGCCAUAAAGAUCUAAUUCUAGUUAGACUAGAAUUGUAAAAAUUAAGGACAACAAGGAUUAAAUUUUCUAAUAAGAUUAGAAUGCCUAAUUGGAUUAGGAUUCCUUUGAAUAUUAAAUUUCUAAUAUGAUUAGAACUCCUAUUGAGAAUAAGGGUCAGAUUUAAAUUCAUAAUCCUAAAAGGUUUAGGAUUACAAAGUCUAUGCUUAAUUUAAUUCCUAGUAGGACUAGGACUUCUAAAUUGGCGCAAGACAUUUAAUGGGACUUGAACAUCAAAUUAUUUAGAUUAAUAUCUUCAAAGGUUGAGUAAUAUUAUUGCCAAAUGACAUAUGAGAUCUUCAAUUUGAAUUAAACAUAAGUUUUAUAUGUUCAUUAUAUGGUUAUGAGUGUAUGAGGAUGAUUAUGGACUUAAACCACUAUAAUGUGUUAUGGAUGGUUAUGGUUGAAUGUAUUUGGUAUUUAUUUUAUAAAUAGGAAGUGUGUGCCCUGCCUUUCCUCUAUUUUAUUCAGGAGUUGUAAAAUUCUCUUCUCAUCUUACUCCUCUCAAAUGUAACUUGAGGUUUCUUUACAUAUAUAUAAUUAUAAUUUAUAGGAUUAGAUUAGGAAAUUUUUUUUGUAAUUCCAAGAAUUAAGGACGAAGGCGCCAAGAGACAUGAAGAUUACAAGACUACAAGAUAUGGUGAUAUUUGUAUGUAAUCCCUUAGGAUUUGACCAAUUAAUUUCCUUCGAUGGCUCAAGGAAAUUAGAUUAGAUAAAAGUCCAUAAUCAUCCUAGUAGUAUGCAUGUUAUAGAUUUAUUUUAUGCAAGGUUAUAAAUGCUAAGCAUGCCAAAUUUGAUGAGACCUAAAUAACAAGAUAAAAGCAACAAAAAAAAUCCCUCAUUAAAAUAUUAAGUCACAUGCUUCGCAUGAUUAAGUUGCCUUCCACCAUAUAACAAGAUAACCAGGCUACCCUUUUAAUUGGAGACUUGUUAAGUCACUCAAGGUCAAACUUUUACACGGGCACGUUUGAAUUAUUGGUGGGUCUUACUUAACUAAAACUAUGUGGUUCGGAUGUGUCACACUUGACCACAUGGUCUUAGAGGCAGGGUUAGCCGAAAUGCAUAUGAUGCAUUUAGACAAUGAGUUGUCACCUAAUUGAUCUGGGAGUUGCAUGUAGAUGUAAUUGAUAAGCUACGUUAUCUACCUAAUUAGGCUUAUUGUGAUUUGUUGAGUCACUCAAGAUUGCAACAAUUCGAAAGGGGUCCCAACCCACUAGAAAUACCUAGUAGAGAUUUUUGUAUAAUAGUGAGGGCUAUUAUUACAAAAAAAUUAGUGAGAGAAUCAGUGUAAGAUUUAAUACCUCGUCUUAAAUUGAUUUAUAACAUGAAAGGCUAAUACAAAUAUUUUUUCUAUAUUUAUAGGUUGUUAAAAUGGGUAUAAUAAUUGCUACUUUGCUUGGCAUACUUGAUGCCAUCAGCCUAAAAUGUUUGGAUUGGUAUAUCACCUUGAGAAAAGUUCUUAAUAAAUGGAAGGGUGCAAUCUUGACAAGUAAAAAGAUAACUUUAAAUAUGAUUGAGCUUAAUCUUUCUACUACCAAUCCUGAAUCUUGGAUAAUAGAUUCAGGAUGUGGAUCGCAUUUAUGUACUGACAUAAAGGCUUUAAAGAAUAGUAGAAAGCUUGGUAAAAAUGAGGUAGUCCUAGAAGUAAGCAAUGGUGUAAAAAUUACUAUAGUUGUCGUUGGGACUUGUGAUCCUAUUUUACCAUCGAAAUUAGUGCUGGAGCUAAAAGAGUGCUAUUAUGCACCAACAUUAACUAGAAACAUCAUUUCGAUUUCAUACCUAGUUAAGAAUGAUGAUUUCAAAUUUAGUAUGAAGGGCAAUUGUUGCACUGUCAUUCUAAAUGAUGUAUUUUAUGGAUCUGCAACAUGUCAUGGAGGACUUUAUGUUAUGGAUCUUCAUAGUCCAAUGCUCAAUAGAUGUCAAGAAAGCUAGAAAAGAUAAUCCCAAUCAAACAUACAUCUGGCAUUAUAGACUUGGUCAUAUCAAUGAGACAAGGAUAGCUAAGUUAUAUAAACAAGGUUAUUUGGAUCCUUUUGAUUAUGAAUCAUAUGGAGUUUGUGAAUGUUGUCUCCUUGGUAAGAUGACUAAGACUCCUUUUACUGGAAAGGCUGAAAAAGUAGGUGUGCUCAUUGGGCUAAUACAUUUGGAUGUAUGUGGACCCUUAAAGACACCAGCCAGAGGAGGUUAUUCGUAUUUCAUUACGUUUAUAGAUGACCAUUCUAGAUUUGGUUAUGUGUACCUAAUAAAGUACAAGUUUGAAACUUUUGAAAAGUUUAAAGAGUUUAAGGCUGAGGUUGAGAAACAAACUAGGAAGAGUAUUCUCACCCUUAGAUCGGAUCGAGAAGAAGAAUAUCUUAGUUAGGAGUUUUUGGAUUAUCUAACGGAAUAUGAGAUUCUAUCACAAUGGACUCCACUUAGAACUCCACAACACAAUGGAGUGUUUGAGAGGAGAAACUAAACCUUGUUGGACAUGGUUCGUUCAUGAUGAGUAGGGCAGGCCUUCUGAUAUCCUUUUGAGGAUAUGCCCUAGAGACUGCUGUUUACCUUCUUAACAAGGCUCCAACCAAAUCGGUUGAUAAAACACCAUAUGAGAUGUGGUAUGGCAAAAGGCCAAACUUGUCUUAUAUAAGGAUUUGGGGAUGUACAGCUUAUGUGAAGUGUGCAUCAUUUGAUAAGCUUGGAGCUAGAUCAAACAAAUAUAAGUUUAUAGGGUAUCUUAAAUAAACUGUAGGAUACUAUUUUUACAAUCCCACUGAGUAAAAGGUGUUUGUCUCGAAACAUGCCACUUUAUUGGAAAAAGAGUUUUUACUUGAAGAGAUUAGUGGGAGUAAAAUAAUUCUUGAAGAGGUUCAAGAACCACAAACUGACAUCCCUUUUGGAACUUGAGUCGACUGUUGAAGCAUUGGAUGCUCAAAUUAGUACUCAAGAAACACAAGUGCUCCGUAGAUCUAUAAGACAGAGACAACUUCCAAAGAGAUAUAGAUUUAUGAUGGAAAGAGAUGCUCUGCCAAUUGACAAGGAGCCUACUAAUUAUGAGAAAGCAAUAUUUGAUAUUGAUUCUGAUAAGUGGUUGGAGGCCAUGAAAUCUGAGAUGGAUGCCAUGCAUGUCAACUAAGUAUGGACUUUGGUUGAUGCACCUAAAAGGGUAAAACCCAUCGAAUGCAAAUGGGUCUUUAAGAGAAAAACUAACAUGGAUGGUAAUGUAUAAACGUACAAGGCUAGGUUGGUUGCUAAAGGUUACAACCAAGUUAAAGGAAUAGAUUAUGAGGAAACCUUUUCACCUGUGGCCAUGAUUAAAUCCAUUAGGAUUUUGCUUGCUAUUGCUGCAUAUUAUGAUUAUGAGAUAUGGCAGAUGGAUGUAAAGACAGCAUUUCUUAAUGAGAAUUUGUAAGAAGAAGUGUAUAUGACACAACCUGAAGGUUUUACAUCCAAGGAUAAUUAGCAUAAAGUAUGCAAACUCCACAAGUCCAUUUACGGGUUGAAACAAGCAUUUAGGAGUUGGAACAUCAGAUUUGAUGAAACUAUUAAAGAAUAUGAUUUUGUCAAGAAUCUUGAUGAUCCAUGUGUUUAUAAAAAGGUAAAUGGAUAAGCAGUUAUAUUUUUAGUACUUUAUGUUGAUGAUAUACUAUUAAUAGGAAAUGAUAUACCGAUGUUACAAACUGUCAAAAUCUGGCUAUCCAAACAAUUCUCCUUGAAGGAUUUGGGAGAAGCGACCUAUGUUCUGGGAAUAAAGAUCUAUAGAGAUAGAUCAAAGAAGCUGUUAGGAUUGUCCCAAUCCACUUAUAGACAAGGUGAUAAAGAGGUUUAACAUGACCGAGUCCGAAAAGGGACACUUGCCUAUGUCACAUGGCAUUUAUCUCUCAAAGGAUAUGUGUCCAAAGACACAAGAUGAGAGAAUGAGGAUGGAUAAAAUACUGUAUGCAUCGGCUAUAGGAUCCAUCAUGUAUGCCAUGUUAUGUACUAGACCAGAUGUGGCGUAUGCUCUGAGUGUCAUGAGCAAAUACCAAUCAAAUCCAGGUGAGAAUCAUUGGAUUGCUGUGAAAAAUAUCUUUAAGUACUUAUGAAGAACUAAGGAUGUUUUAUUGGUCUAUGGAAGGGCUGAACUCCAAGUUAAAGGAUAUGGAGAUAUUACAUUCCAAUUUGAUAAGGAUGAUAGCAAAUCGCAAAGUGGAUUUAUAUUUACCUUAAAUGGUAGUGCUAUUAGUUGGAAAAGUUCCAAGCAAGCAACAACUGCAGAUUCUACAACUGAGGCUGAAUACAUCUUCGCGUCAGAGGCAGCAAAGGAGGGAGUUUGGAUCAAGAAGUUUGUAAUUGAACUUGGUGUGGUUCCUAGCAUUGUUGACCCUGUAACUUUGUACUGUGACAAUAAUAGAGCCAUUACGCAAGCAAAGGAAUUGAGGUCUCAUCAACGAUCCAAACAUGUAUUGCAGCGUUAUCACUUGAUCAGAGAUAUCAUUAAAAGAGGUGAUAUUAAUAUAGAAAGAGUACCCACAGAGGACAACUUAACUGACCCUCUCACUAAAGUUCUGUCCCAGUAGAAACAUGAUCACCACUUGGAGGGCUUUGGUAUUAGAUACAUGGACGAUUAGCUUUAGUGCUAGUGGGAGAUUGUUAGUGUAAGCCCUGCAAGCCAAUCGAUUUUGUGCUUGUAAAACACUAUAUUAAUUAGUCAUAUUUCAUGUUAAAUACAUUAUGGAUAUUUUAUAUAAUGUAUGAGGUAUUUUUUUAUCCAUGAGUUUAUUUAUAAAGAGUUAUGAGAUACUUAUGUAGAUAAAGUUCUUGGAACAUAAUGGCCUUGCAAAGAAAUUAUAAAGGUUAUAAUUAUGAGAUUCUUAUGCAUCAAAGCCUUGUUUCUAAAUGUGUUCGUGGUCAUUGUAUUGUCAAGAAUAAGGGCAUUGACAAUGUUCAAAGACUAGUACAUGCUAAACCUCCUUACUUUAGAAGUAAGCAAUUGAUCUCAUAGGUUGAAGUAUGUGAGAUACUUAAUGAUAGUAUUUGGGUGAUUGUUAAGGAACAAGUUCACUGAACAUGACCCGCUAUAAGAGUUUCAUUUGGUAUUUCACUCAAGUGUCUAUGGAAAUACUCUCAUGUGUCAGUAGUGUAAGUAAUCCUUAGACUUGUGAUACCAGGUCAUUUUGGAUGUGAAUUGUCAUGCUUUGAUUUCACCUCUACGAGUCUGGAGAUGACCAGAUGCUUAAACAAUGUGCUUUUGGGUAUGGCAUAAAGCAUGCAAAGAUGAAUGAGUAGUCUAGAGAGGAUUCAUCACCCCAAGUGAUUUGAAGGGGACAUAUCUCAUUUGCUCCUAGCUUAUAUUGAUUGAAAGUCUUUGGCUAAGGCAAUCUUGAUAGGUCAAUAUAGAAGCUACAAGACUAAUAUGGAUAAGUUAAAAAGUAGACAUCGAGCCAGGCUUUCUAUUGUUGGCUCAAUUAGUUUUUGAUGAUAAUAAAACAUUCCUAUUUAUUUGUGUCUAAUACCUUUACUUGAGUGUGCAGGAAAUUAAUAUAUGAAAUUAAUUUAUUAACUCUUCAAAGAGUAUUUUUGAAAGAAAAAGAGGGAUAAAAACAACAAGAUGUAACUGAAUAACAAGGAGGAAGCUUAUUGGUGAAACAAGGAAGAAUGUUGGUUGAUCAAAGUUUCAAAUUGGAGAAAUGACAGGAUGAAAAGUUUAAGAAACAAAAUUAACUUAAUCGACCAAGACAGUCGACUAAGUGCUUUCUACCAAGAUCUGUAAACCAGAAACAGAAUCAACUUAGUCGACCAAGUUAGUCGACUAAGGGCUCUUUGUCUGCAAUUUGAACUAGAGCACUAUAGGGCAGAUUAACGGCUAUAACUCAUUCUUAACUAUUUUCAACGGAUAUAAAUUGCCAAACUGCCAUCAAGGUUGCAUCUGCAAGUAUAAAAUGGUCUUUCAACAAUUAGAAACAAGGUUUUAAAAGCCUUCAAUGAGAUUUGAGCUAUAGAAAGUAAAAAAACCAGAAAAGCUUCAUAGCACUUGUCUGCACUUAAAAGUCUACUCUUUGCAUUUGUAUUUAGCACUCAAUCCUGUACCAAUCAAAUCAACCAAUGAUCAUAGGUACCUUCUUGUACUACUUCUCUUGUAUUCUUAGAGUGAGGGAGUCAUUCUAAGGGGUUGUUCAAACUUGGGAUAGCUUGAUUGUUGCAGGUUGUAGUUGAGCCUUGGAAAACCACAUUGAGUUUUAGUUGAGCCCAUAAAAAACUAGUGUAAAAAGUUGUGGCUGAGCUUGGUAAAAGCUAUUGUAAAGCUUGGUGAAAGCUUGUGAAUUUCACCGGUCUAUAGUGGAUUUGUGAGAAAAUCCUUAGUUGGAUAAUAAAGGUAGUAGAUGUAGGUUUUGGAUCGAACCACUCUAAAUUGCUGUGCAUUUUAUACUCUACUUUUGUUUUUUUAAGUUCUGAAAAUUAGUUUCCAAUAUUGUUUAGAGCCAAAUUGUGCUAUUCACCCCCUUUUAGCACAUAUUAUAGGGACCAACAUCUAUAUACUUGGGAUAUAUGAUGAAAGGAUCGAAUUACACUAAGAUACUGUACACUGAAAGGUUAGUCAAAUCAUAUUGACUCUCUUGACAUUUGGGUGGUCGUGAUGUAUUGCUAGAUGUCGCUCAUGAUCUAUAAAUAUAAAUAUAAAUUCUUAAUUGAAUUAAUUUAUAUUUAUUGCCAAUAUGUUGGGAACCUAAUGGGUCACACACAUAAGGUGAAUUGUCGAAAUUAAUUUUAGUUCAAUUGGAUGUGAUCUAAUUAAUUUUAUAGAGACUUAAUCCAAUUAAGUAUUGGGCUAAAUCAAAUAUGAUUUGAUGGAAUAUUAAAUAAAGGCCCAAUUAGCUCAAGACAUUUUAUAAUCCUUAUUGGUUAUAAAGUAGGUCAAUUAACUCUAUUAAAGAAUCCCUUAGCUGCCUCUUGAAUAUAUAGAAGAGUUUUAUUUUAUUUUCUCGGGUGUUCAAAUAGGAUCAUAGCCAAAAGAGAGAAACACAAGGGAGCUCAAAGUUGAAAGUUUGCUAGCACAAACUUCGACUUAAGGAUUCACACACUCUUAGUGAAGAGAUUUCGACAAAUCACUGUAUGGAUCACCAUUAGAGGCGGACAACUAUGAUGUUGUGGUUUGAUAAGUGCUAGUCUGUGUACAAAAGUUAAAACGAAAAGCCAAGGAGAACUCCACCAAAGAAAGCAGACUUUCAGGUAUGUUCAAAUUUCUUUUGUGGUUUUUCUAGAUUAGUUUCAAUUAAAGUGAUCUAUGGCUUUGGGGAUUAAAAUUUUAAUAAUAUUCUACUGCGUAUGAGUUGUCUUAGCAUGAUUAAAUCCCCAACACCUAGUUUACGCAUAUGGGGUGAAGGGUUAUUGAUUGUGGUGUACUGAUUGUAAGUCCUCCAAGUUUAUGGUGAGUCAGGAUGUUACCUUUGACAAAUCUGCAUUACUUUAUGGGAUAAGUCUAAAAUCACAAACACAUUAGACUAAGAAGUUGGCAAGUAGGUGGAGUUUGAAAUCAAUGCUCUUGAGAUAAUGCAAGAUGAUAGUGAAAUAAAAAAUGAGCCAUAAGAGGUACAAGAAUUGGUAUCUCAUAUACAAGAACGAAGCAUUAUUACAAGGAAUUCAAGAGUAUCUAAGAUGUAUGAUGAUUUUGUUACUUGUGUCAAUGGUGAUUUUGAUUCUUAUAUUUUAUUUGUGAAAGUAGAGAUUGAUGAGCCUUACUUUUAUGGUGAGGCAAUUACAUUUGUCGAGUCUUAUACGGAGAUAGAGUCUCUACACUAGGAUCAAACAUGGGAGCUCGUGAAAACACCUAAAAAUACUAUUGAUGUUGGCUUAAUGUAUGAAAGAGGUGCAAACAAUAGUUGUAAUGUGAUUAGUUUUUCCAAUUUUGAUUUUACUGGUGAUUGAUGCAGUUAAAGAUCUCAAACGGAGUAUGUGUUCACUCUCUUAGAGUUUGCAAUUAGUUGGAAAGUAAUUUUUCAAUCAACCGUUGCUUUGUCUACAACUAAAGCUGAAUAUAUGGUUGUGACGAGGCAGUGAAUGAGGUUUUAUGACUCCAAGGCUUGGUUAGGGAUCUUGGUUUUGGACAAGCAUAUAAGCUUGUGUUUUGUGAUGGUUAAAGUGCCAUACACUUGACUAAAAAUCAAAUGUUUCAUGAGAAAACUAAUCACAUUCGAGUCAAGUGAAACUUCGUUCAAAAGAUUAUUUCUAGAUGUGAGAUUGUAGUUAAGAAAAUAGCCACAGCUGAAAAUUCAACAAAUAUAGUAACUAAGUCACUUUUUGGGAUAAAGUUCAAGAUUGCUUGGACUUAGUUGGUGUUCAUAGUGCUUGGGGCCUUUUAAGGCAUUGACAGUGUCAACAGUGAUUGGUUCGUAAGGUGAAGCUUGGUGAAUUCAAGCCUAAGGUGGAGAUUUGUUAUGAUAGUCUUGAAUUGUAGUUUGAUUAUGAUUGUUUAAUUCUAAUUAAACUUGUAUACCUUUCUGAGAUAGUCUUUAACUCUAGUUAGACUAGUAUAAUAUAUCUUAAUUGAAUGAGGAUAAAAUUAUUGUACUUGACCUUAUAAAAGAAUCCUAUGCGAUUAAAGAAUAGUCAUCACGUAGAUUUAGAGAGAUUGAUUUAGGUGUACAUGAGAUAAGGGUUGUGAGUUUGAGACUGUUCUUGUAAUCUUUUGAUUUUUCUUUUAGUGGAUCUUUCUCUGUUACUAUACUCAUGGAUGUAGAUCAUUAAAAGACUAAACCACGUAAAUUCUUGUAUUCUUGUAAAUGUACUUAAUUUUUUUUAUUUUAUUGAUUGAGGAAAAUCUUGAAUAACUAUUUAAAGAUAAUUUUGUAAUUUUCACAAUAGUAUCGGAGGAAAGGAUCAUUUCAAAUCAUCCUUUCCUCCAAUCACUUUGCACUUGGAGUAAUGACUUCUAACCAAGGCAUGUCUAUUGCUUGUUGAAGACCUCGAAUGUGACAUUUCCUUAAGAAUGGUUUAGAAUUAGUAUCAAUUAAUUCAGCAUUAAAAUUUUUUUUCCCACAGUGAUAAUUGGUUGUUUAAUAUUUUUAAUGUGCUUAAAUGGUCAAGUAUGCGUGGCGGCACGUUAGCUCCACCUUGAGAUAGAUCUCAUGUAUGACAUUUCAUACCUAAACAAUUGAAAUUUUGUUAUUAUAAACUAAUCAAAGUCUAUGUCAAGGUUUAAAGACGUGCAGUGCUACAAUAAAUUUAAUUCCAAAUCCUAAGAAUGAGAAUAAUAUUUAAAAAGCAAUCAAAUUAAAAUUAGGCAGAAGUCAUAGUCAUGAUUCAUGAGCUGAAAAUUGUAGGAGAAAAGACAAUAGAGGACAAGUCGUGAAUUACGAUAGAUGAGAAAAAAUGGACCAAAGGGAAUGAAGACCACCCUAAUAUUGGUCAAACAACAUUAACAAGGUGCGAAUUGGCGUAAAACAAGCCAAGCGCUAGAAAGAAUAAGUCCUUCCUUGAGGAAUAGUCUUUAACCAUGAACCUAUUAGGCAACAACAUAGGUGGAGGUAAUUAAGGCUAAAGGCCUAGGCUUUUUACAAGUCUUUAACCUCUCUUUGGGGUAUCACCAUUUGUUAACCAUAUCGAUAUCAACAGGUGAAAGUUCAACAACAAAAUUCUUGUCCAAUUCAUGUAGAUUCAGGCAAUCACUCGAUAUAAAAGCUGAAUUUCAUGAAUUAUAUGCUAAUCACCCUUAUUGCUAAGUGAUAAUAUAUUUUAAAUUGAGAUUCUUAUUUAAAUCUGAAUCAAAACGGAAGUGAGUAAAUUGAAUAGUAUCUAAGGAAAAACUAAAAAUUCCAAUUCAUCCGAAGCUGGGAAGAAUACUGAUUUUAAAUAACAGAGUACUAAUUUUGAAAGAGAAAGCCAAGCCAUUUUUGAAGUUGACGCCCACCUUUCAACAACCUCUUCCUCAAACCCACAAGCUGCUAACUUCUGCACCAACCAAAGUAGCCUAGCAGCCAGCUUCUGAGCCAAAUUCCCCGAUCGGUUCACAUCCCCUUUCCCCAUCCCCACCCUACUCCACACGCCAUCUUCAACCGAUCGAAUCGCUUGUAAAACCCUAUUCAACCUAUAUCAAACCGGUCUAGGUGCCGGGACAUCGAGACUAACCGUGUCCUACCCCACUUCAACCAUUGCAGCUUCAAACUGUCAAUAGUCCUCGCAAAAACAGCUGACAAAAUGGUAUGGUUGACUUCACGCAAAGCUUCGACGUUUUCCUUUUUUUUUAAUAGCAAGAGUAAACUUUAUUCAUCAAAGAGGGACUAAAUCCCUUUCACCAUAUAGAAGAGAGAAUAAUAGAAAGCUUUGGUUCAUAUAUCAGUCCAAUUUAUCUGAUAUAUCUUUCCAAAGCCUUCUAAAAAAACCAAAAGAAACAACCCCUAUACACGUCAUAAUUCCAUAAAGCCAAACUUGGCAGGAAGGCCAUUGUACUCCCUCUCCAAUGAAAACAAAAGAAAAUCCCUGAAAGUUACAGUCACCCAUAUAAACAAGAAAGACAAAAACAAUCCUUCCUCCCAAGAGCCAUACACUCCCAAUCCAGCAAACUAAAAGAGGAAAACAAACAACAAAAUAAAAAGUAACUAAAAACGCGGGCAAGAGAAUCAGGACUCAAUAACACCCAUGGCCCCCAAUCAGACUAAGAACCGAAUUAACAAAUCUGAAUUUGUCCACCUCCCUCAAGGAAAAAAAAACAGAGACUAGAACACUCUUAAUAUCUCACUCUGAAGAUGAAUGGUAGCUUUAGCCAAUGAAUCGGCUUCUUGAUUUGCCUCUCUUACAGAAUGUCUGAUAUCCCACUCAGCACUUAUAUCCUUUAACCUUUCAAUCUGAAUCAUCCAAUAUCUCAGCCUCUAAGGCGCUUUCGCAGGAUCUUUGAUCCAUCUAACAAUGUUCCACACAUCACUUUCAAUCAGCAAGGAGUGGUUACCUCUCCAUCUUGAAGCUGAGAAAAUCAAGAAAGCCUCAUUCACCGCAUGGACUUCAGCUAUAGUAGAGUUUGCAAUACUAAUUGGUUUGGAAAAAGUAAGUAGCACCUCUCCCUUUUCAUUUCUCAAAAUGCCCCUAAUUCCAGCAAGUCCAAGGCAACCUUGGGCCACUCCAUCUACGUUAAACUUCAGAUGCCCUGGCUUUGGUUUUUCCCAUGAAACACCUUUUCUUUCUUUAGUUUUUUUUUUUUACCGCCACAUCCAACUUUAGGGAUAAAAAUGGUCAAAACCAAAGGAUACUCAUUAGGCCACUUAGCAUUGGCCAAUGAUGCCACUCUUAUCUUAGAAGUCUCCCAACACUGUACUCUAUCCUAAGUUUUUCCAUUGAAGACAACAUCAUUACGACACUUCCAAAUAGUCCAAACAACUACAAAAUAACUCAUCCUCCAAAUCCUCUCAUCCGCAUGUCCCAUGUAACAAUUAUUCCAGGAUUCAAAGAAUAAUUUAACAUUACCAGGGGCACUCCAUUGAUACCCAAACACGUCACACCACCCAGCCCAUACCUUCCACAUUUUAGAGCAGAAAAUAAACAAGCGGUUAACCGAUUCCUUCUCUUUGUUGCACAGCACACAAGAACUUUGAUUAUCUUGAAUCACUCCCCGACUUACUAGUUCUUCUUUCACUUCGAUUUUUUCAUGAAAUAAUUGCCACACAAACGCCUCAGUUCUAUAAGGUGCCAGACCAACCCAAAUAUUCUUUCAAACCUUAUCUCUCUUUUCGGUUAGCACCAUUAGUCUCUUGCAAAAAGAUUUAGAGCUAUAUAGACCACUUACUUCACAUUUCCACACCAUCUCAUCUUUUAGCUCUCUACUAAUUUGGAAGUCUUUAAGAAUGUUUCCAAGCUGAUCCCAUUGACCAAUUUCCCAAUCAAAUAAAUUUCUUCUCAGAGAUAUAUCCCAUUUCCACACAUUCUCCUCUUAUCUGCCAUAUUCCAUAAUCUUCCCAUUUUUAUUAUUAGCAAGCACAAAAAUCCUUCGAUAGAUUUGAGCCAAUGUACCAUUACCAAUCCAUUCAUCAGUCCAAAAGCGUAUGUUUUCACCAUAUCCAACCACAAAACCAAGAUUCGGAAUGACCUGCAAAAGAUACUUGUUAGUCGGGGAAAGGGGACUAGUGAUGUUCUUCCAUAAUGUAGAAAAAUUACGAUUUGCAUUCGUAUUUGGCAUGAGAUAGAUAGGAUCACUCCUGGUUUUUCUAACAAUAAUUUCUCUCCACAUGCUCUCUCUCUCACUUCUAUACCGCCAAAUCCAUUUAUUUAAGAGAGCUUUAUUCUUAGUUUCCAAAUCUGUUAUUCCUAUCCCCCCACACUCCCGAUAAUUACACACCUUCUCCCAAUUGACAUAGUGCACCUUUCUUUUCUCAUCACAAUCUCCCCAAAGGAAGCUCCGCUGAAGUCUCUCCAAUUUAUUCUUUACCCUCACAAGAAUUUUAAACAAUGACAUAUAGAAUGUUGGCAAGCUGACUAACACAGAUUUGAGCAAAGAGAUUCUGCCCUCAAGGGACAGCAUUCUGGAUUUCCAACCUGACAACUUCUUUUCCACUUUCUCAAUGACUGGAUUCCAAAAAGCCAUGGAAUUAUGGUUCACCCCCAAUGGGAGUCCCAAAUAAAUGGCCGAAAUUUUUUCAAUUUGACAUUUAAUCAAAGCUGCCCAAUUUUGGACUAACACACUUUCAACUCCAAUCCCGAUAAGGAAGCUUUCUUUAAAAUUAAUAUUCAGUUUAGAAAUACUUUGAAAACACUUGAGAAUUCUCUUCACCACCAGUACAUCAUCCACUUUAGGCUUGCAGAAUAACAUUGUGUCAUCUGUAAAUUACAGGUGAGAGAUCUUAAACUAUUAUGUUCCUAUUCUGAUCCCCUCCCAUACUCCUAUUUGUUUAGUUCUUUUAAUCAAACUGCUCAACACCUCCACAGUGAUAUUAAACAAGAAAAGGGACAAAGGGCAUCCUUGCCUAAGCCCUCUUUCAUCGUAAACUGUCUAGUAGGCGUACCAUUAACAAGCACCGUUAUCCUCGCUGUACUGACACAUUCCUUAAUCUAUGAUCUCCAUCUCUCCCUAAACCCCAUUUUAACCAUGCAAAGCUCAAGGAAAUUCCAACUAAUACAAUCAUAUGCUUUUUCAAAAUCAAUCUUGAACAAGAUACCUCCACUCCCUCUCUUCCGCAGCUCGUCCACAACCUCAUUAGCAAUAAGUGUACAAUCCAUCAAUUACCUUCCUUUAAUGAAUGCGAACUGAUUCCUCCCUAUAAUUUCAUCCAUGACCUGCUUAAGCCGAUUAGCAAAAGUAUUCACCAUGAUCUUAUACAAACUCCCAACCAAACUUAUAGGCCUAUACUCAUCAAGCCUUAUUAGGUUACUGACUUUGCGGACCAAAGUGAUAAACGAAUUAUUGACCCCGCGACCCAACUUGCUGUGUCUGUAAAAAUCCCCCAUGAACCUCAUGACAUCUUUUUUCACCAGACACCAAUUCUUCUUGAAAAAAUUCAAAUUAUAUUCGUCAGGUCCUAGAGCUUUGUCCCCAUCACAACUUUGAAUGGUAUCCCAAACUUCAUCCUUAGAAAACGGUCUUUCAAGAAAUUUAAUCGAAUUUUCCUUCAAACUUCGACGUCUUCCUUACGCUUCUCUUCUAUAAGUCUUUCCACUAAAGAUCGAACAAUUUCAUAUUUUCUUGAGCUAACAGAAAUAUCAUUAACGCUAGAUAGUAGCUGUGAAAGCGCACGAGCAAUUCUCGAGUCGCCAACCCCACAGGCUGCAGCCACGUAGCUAUGGUUUUAGGGGUGCUUAAAGGAGUAAUCAUCGGCUUGAUGGUGUAAAGUAGAAGGGAUCAGAGAAGGAAGUAAGUGCAGAAAGAAGAGAAAACAAGUGAUGACAACAGCACGAAUUAGUUCAAGUAGCUUGUAUUUUUCUGCUAAGUUCAAGAGGGAUUUGUCAGCAUAAAUAAAUAUAGAAGUUACCAUAUUUCUAAGUAGCAAAAGAGUUAUGGCCGCUGGCGAGUUUUCCAUUAUGCCCAUGAUUUUUCUUCUUUUGGUUUUCUUGGCUUAGUUCUAACUAUGGUUUUUUAGUUUUCCGUUUGUUUGUAUGAAUGGAAAGAGUUUUGAGAGGUUAAGAGAUGAUGAAGAAGGAAGGACGAAUUGGUGAGGUAAAUGAGUAAUAAGGACAAAUUAAGAGAGAAUUCUCGUUUUGGAUCGUUGAAAAUGUUUAUUAGGAUGAUGGAGAUGUGGGAAACAGUAGUUUCCAGUCGGUGUUUUGCUUUCACGGGACUUUCUGGCUUUCUCGUGAACCCAAUUUUCUUUGAGUUACAUUUUGGGCCAACUCAGCCGGAUACAUCAUCUUAACCCAAUUGUUAUAACUUGAUUACUGAUAAUGUAAUUAUUGAAAAGAUAUCGUUAUGACAUUUGAUAUAUAAGAAAAUAUUAAUAACUAAAAGUAUUAAGAAGAUAACAUUAUAUUUUUAUUAUCAAUGUGAUAUUUUUAAAAUUAUCAUUAUAUAUGAAAAUAAAAAUUUAAUAUAUUUAUCUAUUUUUUUAAUGUAAAUUUUUGUAUAUAAUAUCAUUCAUUCAAUAAAUCUAACUAUUAUUCUUCAAGACACAUCAAUUCUCACCAAGGGAUUGAUAUUUGAUGGUUUCUUAUUAAUUACCAAAUAGAUUAUAGGGGGAAAUUGCAUAAAUAAUUAUACUUUAUCUAAUUUAAUUUACUUUUUCAAUGAGCCUUUAAAUGAUUAUUUUUUUACGUAUUGAAACUUUCUUCUUUAGGAACACUAGAUUUUAAAGUAAUCUUUAAUUGUGUUAUUGUAUACUCAUAUAAUUCAUGAUUGGUUUAUUAUCUUUUUAUUUAGUUGUGUUCACAUAUUGUAUUGUGUUACAUGUUUAUUGAACGUAUUUAUAUAUAAUAUCUUAACACAAUUAAUUAAUUGUAUUAUUUUUGUGUUUAUCUAUAUAACUAUUAAUACUUUAUAUUUACAUGAUACAAUUAAAAUAAACACAAAUUGUUAAAUCUACUCAAUAGUUACCGUUUGUAUGUUUGAAGAAGAAAAAGACGAAGAAGAAAUCAAAAACUCAAAACUAAACAAAAUCUAGUCAAAUUUGAAGCGAGAAUAAGAGAGAAACCAACAACUAAAUGGCCCCUAGGGUUAGAACGGAAGGGGUGUGAGGGAAGGGUUUGGGCUUCGUUCCCCAAAGGAAAUGGGCAAUAAUGGUAAAAUCAGAUUUUUUUACUUUCUCAAUUAAUAAGAAAGUAACAUUACAUUGAUUUCUUUUUUUGGUGUAAUAUGAUGCCAAUGUAAUGUAAUAUUAAAUUGAAUUUUUCUCACAAAACAUUGUAAACUUUAUCAUUUACAUUACAAGAAAUAUUACUUACUUCUUUUGUACCAAACACCCCUUAAAUGUAGCAUUAUUCUAACCUUUCCAUAAUCUUGUCCAAUCACCCUAUACGAUUGAUCCUCCUUUAACAUAAGAAAAGGUAUUGCUUUAAAUAUUCAUGGUCAAAACUUUGAAAUAAUGGACCACUUGCUACCAGAUUAUUACCCAAAUACUAUCUAAAAUUUUGCUUGACCCAUCUGGAAUUGCUAUGAAAAGGUAUUAGCAUAUAGCCAUGCAAAAUUUUUCAAAAAUUAUUUAAAAGAUUAAUAAUUUAUUAUUAUGAAUAUAUGUAUGAAUGCCCAUUAUGUUAUAAACUUCAUCCAUUCUUUAAAGUGAGUGCGACAUCAUUUAAUAAUUAUGGUCAUGGAUGUGAAAGAGCAUAAUAAUUACAAUCAUGGUGAUUACUCUAAUAACUAUUCUAAUAAUGAGAAUACCAUCCAAAGUGGAUGGAUACAUUUAAUUACCAAAAGUGGAUGGACACAUCUAAUCAUUGGAACUAAAUGGAUACAUUUAACCACCAAAAGUGGAUGAAUAUUGAAGAGAUAUAAGAAAAAAAAAUAAAAGUAGACGAAAUAAAAGGAAUAUAAAAAAUAUCUAUCAUCGAUGUGGUAUGAAAGGCCAUUGGUUACAUACCUGUUGUACGUUGAAACAUCUUAUUGAACUUUAUCAAUUAUCUUUGCAAGUUAAAAAGAAAAAAUAUAUAUCAAAACAAGUUUUGUUCAAGAUAAUUUUAACUAUGACCCAAUUGAUAUAAUAUAUCUGGAUGUUACUAAUUUUUUUGUCCAUCGUAAAGAAGGAAUUGAUCAUCUUAUUGGUUAUGUAAAUAUUCAAAAAUAAAAUUUCUUAAUAGUUUGCUAAUAUAUUUUAGUAUAACUUUAUUAUGAAAAUGUUGUUAUAUGUUCUCAUUAUAUUUAAAUGAUAUGUUUUUAUUAUGUGUUUUAAUAAUUAAUUCUAUAUUUAAUGUUCUCUUAUGAUAAUUUGUAAGUUUCUUACUAUAUAUAUUAUUUUAAAAUAUGAAUAUUCAUCUAGUUGGAUCCAAGAUCAACAAUGCAAAUAUAUGUCUAGCAAAUAGCCCUAUAAUGCACAAUAUAUUAAAAAAUAAGAAAUAUUUUUCUCACUUAACAAUGUAAGAAACAAUAUUAAUAUAAUAUCUAGUAGUAUAAGAUUAAUAAAAGCUUCAGAAAAACCAAUAUUUUAAUACUUGGAGGAACAAACUUUAUAAGAAAGGAUGUAUUAUUUUCUAUUAAGUCUCAAAAAAAGUUGUUAAGUUUUAAAGAUAUUUAUUUAAAUAGAUAUCAUAUUGAGACAACAAAUAAAAGAGACAAUUAAUAGCUAUAUAUUACAUCUAUUAUCUUAAAUAAGAAGUGUUUGUUGGAAAAAUUACCCGCUUGGUUCUCUCGAUUGUACUACACAAAUAUUAUAAUGAUUGAAACUCAUGUUAUAAUAAAUUAGAAGUUGACUAAUGAUUUUAACAUUUGGCAUGACCGAUUGGGCCAUCCGAGAUCAAUAAUGAUGCAAAAAAUUAUUGAAAUACAUGUGGUUAUUCAUUGAAAAACUAAAAAAAUUUUCAAUUUAAAGAAUUUUCAUGUGUUACUUGCUCUUAAGGUAAAUUAAUUAUAAGACUAUCACCAACUAAAGUAAGAGCUGAAUCUCCAAUACAUCCACCAUGUGAAAUACAUUUUUGGAAUGUAUUUAGGGUGAUAUAUGUAGACCCAUAUAUCUACCAUGUGAACCAUUUAGAUAUUUUACAAUUUGAAUUGAUACAUCAACUAAAUGGUCACAUGUGUACUUAUUAUCAACUUGCAAUUUAGCAUUUGCAAAAUUACUCGCUCAAAUCCUUCAUUUAUGAACACAAUUUUCUAAUUAUACAAUUAAGACAAUUUGUCUUAAUAAUGCUAGUGAAUUUACAUCUAAAGCUUUUAAUGAAUAUAACAUAUUAGUUGGAAUAACUAUUAAACAACUUGUUGUUUAUAUUCAUGCAUAAAACAGCCAAGUAGAAUUGUUUAUUAAACAUGUCCAACUAAUUGCAAAAUCAUUGUUUAUGAAAACAAACUCUUCAUUUUUACUUAGGGCAUGCCAUUUUGCAUGCGGUAGCACUUAUAGGCAUUUAAACAACGAGUUAUCAUAAAUUCUCUCAUAUACAAUUGGUUUAUGGUUAAAAAUCGAAUAUUUUCCAUCUAAAAAUUUUUGGAUGUGCGAUAUAUGUCCUAAUUACUCCACCACAAUGCACAAAGAUGAGUCCUCAAAGGAAGUUAGGAAUAUAUGUUGGAUAUGAAUUUUCAUCUAUAAUUAAAUAUCUAGAACAAUUAACAAUAGAUUUAUUCAUGACAAAGUUUAUCGAUUUUGAUUUUGAUGAAAUAGUUUUUCCAAGAAAAGAGGGAGAAAUAAGUAGCUAGAAAAUUUUUUUUCUUGGAAUGUUUUAUCAUUAUCUAGUUUUGAUUCUUACACAAAUCAAUGUGAACUUAAUGUUCAAAAGAUAAUACAUUUGUAAAAUAUAGCAAAUCAGUUGCUAGAUGUAUUUACUGACUUAAAGAGAACAACUAAAUCUCAUAUAUCAGCUGCAAAUGCUCUUAGUAGAAUUAAUGUCCUUGUAGGAUAAGGCACACCAGAAGUGCGAAAAACCAACGGUUUCAAAGAUAAAAUCCUCAAAAAAAAAAAAAGAACAAAUAUACAAAAUGGUCAAAAAGAGGAAACAAAAACUCUAGAAGUGACCCCUAACAUAAUUGAUAACAUUUUAGAAGAAAUUCAAGUAUUUGAAAUCAUUAAAAAUAAAGAGAUCUCAAUAAAUUAUGUCAUGAUGAAAAAAAUGAUACCAUAAUGAAAUAAACGUCGAUGAUAUUUUUUCAUAUAAUUUAACGCUCAAUAUUAUGGAAGAAAAUGAGGAUCAUAAACUUACAUCUGUUGAAGAAUGUAGACAUAGAAAUGAUUGGUCAAUGUGAAAAAACGCAAUCCAGGUGGAAUUGACUUCACUUGUAAAUCAUGAAGUUUUUGGACUUAUAGUCCAUACAACAAAUGGUUUAAAACCAGUGAGAUCUAAAUGAAGAUUUGUGUGAAAACGAAAUAGAAAAAUAAAAACAAUUUUGAGACAUAAAGCAUGUCUUGUUGCACAAGGUUUUACCCAAAGAUCUAGUAUUGAUUGUGAAGAGACAUAUUCUGUUGUGUUGGAUACAAUUACAUUUCUUUAUUUAGUUAGUCUAACAAUACAUGAGAAGAUUGAAAUGCAUUCAAUUACUACAACUUAUUUAUAUGAUUUACUCGAUAUUGAUAUCUAUAUGAAAAUUCAGGAUUUAAGUUGGUUGAGGCAUGUACACAAUCUUAAGAAAUUUAUUCAAUCAAAUUAAAUAAAUAUGUAUAUAGAUUAAAGCAAUCUGGACACAUGUGGUAUAAUUACCUUAGUGAAUAUUUGUUUAAAGAAAGCUAUAAAAAUAAUCUUAUAUACCCAUGUGUUUUUAUAAAAAAAUUUGGAUCUGAAUUUGUCAUAAUUGCUAUUUUUGAUGAUGACCUAAACAUUAUUAAAACUCUAGAAAAGUUAUAAAAAAUCGUGGAUUACUUAAAGAAAGAAUUUGAGAUGAAAGAUCUUGAAAAAACAAGUUUUGUUUGAGUCUUUAGAUUGAGCACGUCAUAAAUGGAAUUUUCGUUCAUUAAUCUAAUUAUAUUUUAAAAGUGCUAAAAUGAUUCUAUAUGGACAAUACACACCCAUUGAGUUCACUAAUGUUUGUAAGGUCACUAGAUAUGAAAAAAGACCAUUUCUGACCUCAUGAGGAUGAUGAAAAACUUUUUAAUCCUGAAGUAUUAUAUUUAAGUGCAAUCGAAGCACUAAUAUAUAUUGCUAGCAAUACACAACUUAAUAUAUCAUUUAUUGUAAAUUUAUUAGCAAGAUAUAGUUCUUAUCCAACUUAAAGACAUUGGAAUGAAAACAAACAUAUACUUCAACAUCUCUGAGGAAUAAUAGACAUGCGUUUAUAUUAUUCAAAUGUGUUCAAAUCAGAUUUAAUUGGUUAUGUGAAUACAGGAUAUUUAUUUAUUCCACAUAAUGCUUGAUACUAGACAUGUUAAUUAUUUACAUGUCGAAGUAUGACUAUUUCAUAGUGUUUUAUAAAACAAAUUAUAGUUGCUACUUCUUAUAAUCAUACAGAAAUUUUAACAAUUCAUGAGUUAAGUUAUGAAUGUGUCUGGUUAAGAUUUAUUUCUCAAUAUAUUCGAGAAACGUGUGACUUGUUAAUUAAGAAAGAAAUUCCAACAACAUUAUAUGAAGAUAAUAUAUCGCUUGCAUAGCCCAGUUAAAGGAAGGAUACAUUAAAGGUAAUAAGACAAAAUAUAUUUUGCCAAAAUUCUUCUUCAUUCAUGAUUUUCGAGAAAAAUGUGAUAUUAAUGUUUAACAAAUUUGUUCAAGUGACAAUCUAGUAGAUUUAUUCACCAAAGCCUUUCAUACUAUAACAUUGGAAAAGUUGAUAUAAAAGAUUGGAAUGUAUGCAAUCAUUAGGAUGAGUAAAACACACAUUGCACUUUUUUCUUGAUUAAGGUUUUUAAUGAGUUAGUAUUUCAAAAGCAUAUUCUUGAAAAGAAUUAUUUAAUUUUUUUUUCUUUACCCAGAUUUUUUUCUCAUGAAAUUGUUUCCUAAUAAAGUUUUAAUGAUGCAUAUUCUUAAUACAAUGAACAUUCAAGAGAGAGUUUUUAUGAAUAUAUAUGUGUGAAAAUCCAUUAUGUAAUGACCUAAAAAGUUCAGAUCAAGUCAAACAAUGCAAUAAGCCAAACACAAGAAUCAUAAUCUGAUUUGAACUCUUAAAUUUGAUUCUGUAUAUCUAGAUUUCUAUAUAUAUAUAUAUUAAAUUAGAUUAAGAAUAAAAUUUAGAGGUUAUUAGUUUAUAAAUAAGGCCCUUACUUCAUAUAUAAAUACACACUUAAAUAAGAUCUUUCUUACUUUAUUAAUAUUUUUUUUCAUUUAAAAGAAGUCUAGAGAGGAAAAAAGAUUUAAAUCUUGAAACUUGACAUUAAUUGGAUAAAGGAAGGGAAUGAUAAAUAGAGUUGUCAACGUUGGUCCAAAUUUGAAAAUUUUAUUCGAUUUGUCUCAAUUUAAACUCAUCAUAACUUGAUUUGGUCAAGAAUAUCAAAAUUUAAAAUUCAAAAUGAUUUGAAUAUCCGAAUUGAAUUGACUUGAAAUUGAAAUAAUUUAAACUUAAUUGAUUUUAAGAGAUUAAUUCAAAACAAUCAAAAUUUAAACUAAUGUCACUGUAAAAAUUAAUAACUUGACUUAAAAAAUUAUUCAAAUUCGAGAUAAAACGAAUUUUUUUUUAUCUAAAAUGACACGACUCAAAGUAAUCCAAUUAAUACCUUUCGGACAUCCUGAUACAGCAUAAAUUGCUAUUAUGGUCUUGAAGAAGUCCUUUUUAAGGCAAUAAGAAUGAAAGAAAGACUAAUUGUGUUUUAUUAACCCAAACUUAUAUUCAGACCAAUAACGUAAUUGGAGACCACUGUGAGCUGAGGAAAGAAUAGAUGAAGUUGAAUAAAAAAAGAAUGACUUUAGAGAAAAUUGUGAGAAAUAACCUUCUUCAUAAGCCUAAUUCAAAAAUAUUAUUUUUUUAUAAUUUUAGCUAUUUUUAGUCAAUUUUUAGCAUUACUUGACAAGAAAUACCCUUUAAAUAAUUUUAGACAAAUUAAAAUGGUUUCAGUUUUCUCUAUCCCGCCAUCCAGACAAAAAUUUCAAAAUUAAAUCUCGAUUUCUCUCUCUAAUCAAAUACUGUUUAUCUCACCAUCCAAAGAGCAGAGAUGAUAUGAAGCUUUUUCUUAUUUUGUUUUAUUUUUCUGGAUGGUGAAUCUUGGGGUUCUCAAUGGUGAUGAACAGUGAUUUUGCUCUUCUAUAGUGAUUGCAAGUAGCAUGAUGAAUGUGGUAACUAGAUGCUUUUUGAUGAUGACUUUCUUCGAAAUGUGUGCUGCGAUGGAGAUGCUUGUGUUAAUGAGUUGAAUCGGAUUGGUUAAGAUGAUGGGCUCAAGGAGAAGGAACAGCUAAAACAUGUUUGAUGGAUUUUAUGGUGGUUCAGGAUUUUGUUGUGUUUGGGAUUAGAAUGAUUGUUAAGCAUGUUUGUUGGGAAUUUUGAUUUUUUUAUGAAAUUUUGAGUUUAAAUUGUUCAGGGAGUAUUUUGUAUAGGGAGUAUAUUUUGUUUUUGCAUAAAGGGAGUAAACAAGUGUCACAACCCAAUUUUCAGGCCAUGACCGGUGCAUGGGCCGAAUGGGCAUAGCCCAUUGUGCCCAAGCCAGUUUUUUAUGCAAUCUCGAUUAUCAUUCCCAGCCAUCAUUUCUAAAACCACAUAUUGUAAUUCUCAACUAUAAAUAUUUCAGUAACAUUUUAUAGCAACCUAAUAUUCACAUUUGUAUUAUGUUAAAAUAAUGUCACCCGUUUGCCAACCUAUAUUGGCAUCAGUAAUCAAAUAUACAUAUUUGAUUUUUAAUAUGAAUCUUAGUGGUCUACAUUACUUAUAUGUAUACACAACCAUAAGACUCUUGACUGUCAGCGGAGUGACCUUAAGUGAAGGUGUAGCUACUGAGAUGCCAUAGCACCUACCAAGAAGGCGGGCAUACAUGGACAACUCAAUCUAGGUCCCAACUGCCUCUGAAUCUGAAAACAUAAAGUUUAAAAGAGUGAGUAUAAAACUCAGUGAGUGAACAUAAGAAGGGAACAAGCAACCGAUACGGAAAGAUUUUGAAAACAUGAUGCACUUUUGUUAAAAACAAUGCAAUUUAGUUUAAUUUCUUGUAAAAUCCCAUAAUUCAACCUUUGAUUAUUAAAUCCCUUAGUGUUGAAAGAUCCAUGACAAACCAUGAAGUUGAAAAGAAUGAAAGUUUCAGCAAAUGUCCAAGCAAGACAAGCAAAACAAAGGGUUUCUCGUUGCAUCAAAAAGGCAUUCUAGGUUCACAUAUAUUUUGGUCUUUCAAGCAUCGCUUCCACUACAUAAGUCCAAUUGAUAUGAUUUUUGAGUCAUUAGAAAGCUAAGAGGUUGGGCUACAAUUUUGAUGUUUACCACUUUGCCUAGUUUUGAUCGAAAAGUGGUCAAAAUUGUUGUCAAAGUGAUAGCACUGCACAACAAUUUCAAAACCACUCGAGAAUUUCUCGCUGCAGCGAGAAUCCAUAUUCGCUGCAACGAAAUUCCUUGCUGCAAUGAAAUUCAGAGCAUGGAUUAAGGUUGCCUACCCGAGAGUUUCUCGCUGCAGUGAAAAUGAAUCUCGCUGUAGUAAGAAAUAAAUCAAUAUAGUUGAAGAGGUAUUGUUACAUCAAAAAGUCAUUUUCUUGUUAAAAUGAAAAGCAAUUUGGGAGCAAUUAACAAUGCCAACAUACAAUACAUUCACAAAUAUUUUCAUAAACUUUCUAUAAUAUAUAUAUAUAUAUAUAUAUAUAUAUAUAUAUAAGUUAUAGNNNNNNNNNNNNNNNNNNNNNNNNNNNNNNNNNNNNNNNNNNNNNNNNNNNNNNNNNNNNNNNNNNNNNNNNNNNNNNNNNNNNNNNNNNNNNNNNNNNNNNNNNNNAUAUAUAUAUAUAUAUAUAUAUUAUAUAAAGUUUAUGAAAAUACUCAGCUCAUGUGCACUCCCUACUCGCACAUAACCGGGUCAUCAUCAGCUCAUGUGCACUCCCACACCGCACAUAGCUAGGUCAUCAUCAGCUCAUGUGCACUCCCACACCGCACAUAACUGGGUCAUUAUUAUCACACAAAAGGAGCAUCCAAAGCAUAAUAUACAUAUCAACAUCAGCUCAUGUACACUCCCACACAACACAUAGCUAGGUCAUUAUUAUCACACGAAAAAAGCAUUCAAGGCAUAAUAUACAUAUCAAUAUAAUGUGAUAACGCAUUAACUAUUCAUAUUGCAUAUUUCACAAGAUAGAAACAUUUCAUCAAAGCUUGUUCCCCAAGUAUAUUUUUUAAAGCAAAAACAAAUGAAACUUUCAAAUGAUUUAUUUAAACAUGUUGGCAUUUCCCAAAACAUUUUGAAAUGCAAGUUCACUCACCUUACGGUAGCAGGAUAUUACAUCGCUAUUUGUUCAGAGGCAUAUCUAGCUAUUCCUACUUGCCAGUCACUCGUUAUUUCCCUCGGCACACCACCACAGUACACUACCUUUACUGUUGCACUUCCUAGCAACAAUCCCAAUUCAAUAUCUUGAGCGUACAUCAUUUAUACUUCCCUUUUUCAUUCAAUCACGAAUCCUUAUUCAACUUAACUUAUCUUGACACAAUUUUUACCAAAGUUGCUUUUAUCCCUUGCUUGCGUAAUUCUUUAAAUUAUGAUUACCGGCAACUUGUUUAUGACUUUAACACAUAUAUUAAUCUUUUCUCAAGAUAUUUAUCAAGUUCAACCAUCCUUUCCAUAACAACCACAAUUUCUCAUAAUAUGCCACUUAAAAUGUCAACUACACAACAAUACCCAUUUUCUCAAGAUUCCUCUAUUACACUUAAAACAUCAUUUGUCUUUAGCUUUAUGGUUACUUGACCAAUACUUGAACUCCAAUAUUCCUUCAAAACAUAAAUCAUCAAGCUGCCAAAAUGAUUCACACAUUAUUUUUCCAAAGAUUUAACCAACCAUGAGCUUAAAACACAAAAAUCCUUACCUUAGCUUACUUAAAUUACAAAACCAAGCUUUUUUUCCUAUAUUUCUUUUUCUUUCUUCUUUUCCUAGGUUUUAGAUGUGCUGGAAAUUGAGGUUAGAAGCUGCAGGUUUAGUGCCCAAGAAGUUUGAAGAAGAAAGAAGUGAGAAAAGAAAGGAAAUGAAAAGAAACAAGGGAAAUCACAUAAAAAAAUUUGAUUUUCAUGAACUUGAAAUGAAAAUGGCAUUGGAAGCUUCAAGAAGAAGAUGAAAAUAUCUUGCUGGAGGAGAUAAGGAUGGUAAUGGCUGAUAAAGAUGAGAGUCAAAGCUUCCUUUGGAAGCUUUGACCAAACUUUUCGUAAAAUUAUCGUUUUACCUUCCAAGUUUCUUCCCUUUUCAAUUUAGUCCUCCCAACACUCUUUUAACUCCAAUUUCUUUUUAUUAUCUUCUUUUACAUAUGUACAAACGAAAUAUAAAGCUUAUACUUCAACGCGGCGUUUUCAUAAUAUUUAAAAUAUAUUUUUUCACACAUUAGUUUUAUUUAAUAAUGAAUGGGCCCCACUAGCUUCAUUUUUCUCCAAAAUUUUCUCGUUCUUCCUCUCCCCCACUUAGAUUAACCAUAUACUCUUUCUUCAUGAAAAAUUUCGAUACUGAAUAAAAUAUUAAUAUUUUAAUAUUAUUUUAUUAAUAAAAUAUUAUUUAUUCUAAAAUUUUUUACUUGUCUCUUUGGUACCCAAAGUACCUUAUUAUGCCUCAAUUCACUUCCAGAUCACUUUUUAUCUCACAAAUUCUUCUUCGAUAAAAAUAUUAUUAUUUUAUUAUUAUUCCCUUGCGUGCGAAAUAAUUUAUCUUAAAAUACUCUUUUCACAUUUUCUCACCUUUAAACAUUAUAAUUAACCUCAUUUCGUAUCCGAUAAACUUCAUUAGCCACCAUGUCAAAGUACGAGGUAUUACAGUCUCCUCAACUUAAAUAGAAUUCGUCCUCGAAUUCUCCUCAACGUCGAGUUGUUAAUCUCACUCAAUGAUCAUAUUCCAUUUCCUUCUUUGUAGGGAAUUUUGAUUUUUGCACUUCACUAUCUUCCAUUCGACUAGAGCACUUUACAAGGUCAAGGUACGUAACUUAUAUCUAUUAUCCUCUGUGAGUCAGAACCACGGUACCUUUCACUAUUGUUCUUUCUUAUCAUUAAGAUCCCAAGUAUGCCUUUAAUUCCAUCACUAACCUCAAACAUAUCUUUAUUUCUAUUCUUGUCAAACCUCUAGUCAUUCAUUCACCUUGUUUACCUCCAAUUCGACUAGAAUAUCUCACUUAUGUCUAUUAUCAUCUUUUAUUAAAUUUGAGCCGAAACUCCAUCUUAAUCAUACUGAUUUCGAUCAUGGUUUAUACUUGCUUACGUAUACCUAAUCACCAUCUUAUUACUUCCUUCCUUAUCAAACUUCUCGAUAUUCUUUCAUUCCUCUUAUCCCCCUACACUAUUAUGUAGCUUAUAAACAUGCCAUAUUCAUUCCUGUACGUAUCCUCAACGUUGGGGGAGGUUAAUGGCUUCAAUUAUUCCCACAUACUACAUGUUUACCUUACAUUUAUAUAGCUUCAAUCUUCUUAAUCAUAUUAGUCAAUCUUGUAUGACUUAACCACACUAUAGAUUACAUUUCCUUGACUAUUUCCCAUAUUUUCUUAUGUCAACAUAGCUCAACUUUUGCUAGGAUUUCUUAUCGUUGUACCAUCUAUACAACUAAUCAAAUGUAUUGAGUUCAAAUCUCAAACCACUAAGAACAAUUCUUCACUUUAGUUGGGCACAUUAUCAGCCCCACACAUGUGAAUGUACACGCACAUUUAAAUGUCAACAUUCUCACGUCUAAUGUAUGAUCAUUAGGUAUAAUCAAUUUCAUAUUACCUUUUUUAUAUGUUUAAAUCACCAUUCCACUUGCGUCUACCACAAGUCAUCCCUUACGUAAUCCAUACGAAUUCUCAUUAUGCCUAUGCAUAACUUCACAUCAUUUACAUGCCUAUAUUCCUUUCUUAUCAUUUCCAAUUAUAUGUUUAAGUAUCAUUUUACUAUAUAUAUCCUUGCAUCAUAAUGUCAUUAAUCACAUCUCAUUAGCUAAAUGUCAUUUUCAUUAAAUUGCAAUUCAAUAUUCGUAUAUGCUUUAUAAUCUCGUUGAUCUUUGAAAGGUUUAUCUUUAUUGGAUCAUUGCAUCUUCUGCAAUGCCACAAUCCCUAAAAGUCAUCCUUAUUUCUCAAUUAUUCUUCAUGCCUCUAACAUAUAUAUAUAUAUAUAUUAUAUCCUUGUUGCAUUUCGACUUUAAUGAGUCAUUGAAAACUUAGACUCAUUUGAAUUGUGCAUGCCUCAAGCAUUUUCGAAUUCCAAUUUUCAUACUACAUUAGGAAGUUUUCAUUAUCGGACUUCAUUAUCCAGAUUAUCUUUAAUCAUCCUUUGUUCUAUUCUUCCAUACUAAUGUGACAUCAUUCUCCCUGGACCAAUCUACAGUUUGUACUUGAAACUACAAGACUUGAAACAAGGUCCUCCUCAAGUACUUUUCAAUGUCAAUAGGAAUAUCACUUUCAACUUAUGGCUUCCUUUUUAUAACCACAUAACUUAAUGCUUGCUUUCACAAGAUCCAUAGCAGAACUCCUAUUGAGUAUUUCCUUAGGGGUACCUAUCUUAAACUUAUGUCUCACCGCAUGUGAUCACUUAACUCGUGACUUAGCCGUUAGGCUCCUCAACAAGUUUAAAAAAUCCCACAUUUUAUACUUGUUGUGUAUGAUUGGUAAUUCCUUCUCAAAGAUGUUUGUGCAUUCUUGAAACACUUAGUCUCGUAUUUGCUCUUUAACAUCCCGAGCAUAUCAUUCUAUAAACAUGCACUUAUUCUUCAAGAUAUAUAAAUACAUACUCGUCUAUCUGAUCCCCAAUUUAUCUUCAUAGGUUUCUAGUGUGCCACACAAUUGGCCUUAUGUUGUUACUAACCUUUUUCAUUUAAUUGACUCAAGACAAGAAUUGCAAAUUCUCAUAAUGAUAUUCUAGAUAAACUCAUUUGUUAUACCACCCUUGUAAUCCUUCAUUCAUGCUUUCAUCACUUGGUAUUGACAUCCCUUAUCCAUAUCUUAUAUAUUCAUCUAACUUUUCACUCACUUUUCCUUAGCCUUUAACAAGGCUUGAUCUUUUGUCCUCUUUAUUUCUUAGAGUUUGACUUUAGUCAACAUAUUAUUCAUCUUAAUGCUUCACAUGGUAAUUUAUCUCAAUGUAGCCGUCUCGAGAAGUCUUUAACUUUUCUCUUACUCACAUGCCAAUAUAUAAGGCAAUAAAGAAACUUUUUAAUUCACUCCUAUAAACACUUUCCCAACGCUCUUAAAACUUAAAUUAAUAAAGCUCAACAUCAAGACCAAUGAUCGUACUUCAACUUGUGAGUUUUAUCUUCAUGCCACUCACAACUUGCUCUUGCCUUCUAGCCAUAAGGAGUUCUUAAUGCGAUAGCGUUGGCAGUCAGCAUUGUGACAUUGCAGCUACUGAAAUUUACUUUAUUAAAUGGAUUCUGCCACAUUUAAGGCUACGACAUUAAUCAUUCUCAACCAUGUGGCUUCCUUUUGAGUCUAUAGCACAAUUAGCAAAACUAACUUUUUAUCACAAGUAUGCAAACAUUGAUUGCAACAUAUCUAUUUCACCUUUUGUGGUAUGCCAAAAUUGUCCUUUAGGCAUAUUUCACUACUAACAUUCAUAUACCUUUACCAUGACAUUUAGUGCAAAUUUUGUUUAAGCAAUGAUCUCUAAUUAACUCUUAGGUAUAUAAAUAUCAAAGUAUACAUCACUUCGCGUUACAAUCUUAACCUUACUCAUCAAUCCUUAACCGUUAACAUUGGUAAGGUGGACAACUCACUUAAUUAUUGCAUCUUGCCUUUGCGGCCAUAAGAUCCAAAUUCGUAAACUUAGGAUGGAGAAGCUCCCUCUUCGAGCUUAUCUAAUAAUCAACAAUUUCUAAAUCUUUUACCUUUAGAGAAAUCAAAUUCAAGACUAAUCAUUUACAUCAUAGGUUGCAUACUGAACCAUAUAAACUUUUUAUUUGAUCUCUAAAGCAACUUGUAUACUAAGCUCAAACAUAGAACUCCAUAUGACAUUUAAACUAAAAUCAACAUUUCUAAGUCAUUUAACUUCAAGCUACCAAAUCCACAACUAAUCCUUUAAUCCUUUGGCUUCACCCUAAGCAUAGCAAAAUUCAAGUUCAUCCUUAAGGCAAAUUUGUUUACUAGGUUUUUUCUUGAUGACCACACAUCAUUUAUAACAAUCACUAGCCAUUCUAGUCAAAGUACGCCCCUAUUACCAUUACCUGAUGUGCUCUUUUAUAUUGAUCUCAAAUACAAUUUAUAGUCAUAUAACUUUCUUCCCAUUGACAACCAUGGGUUUAAAUUAUAACUCCACCAAAUGAAUAAACUAUUACGGACCUAUCAGUCCAGCGCCACCUUCCUCCAUCCUUAGUCGGAGGGAUAUAUCAUUACAUUAAUCUUUCAUUAAGAGCAUUUACUUAAAAUUCUUCCAACAACAGCUUGUGUCUUGGGUGGCAUCUCAAACCCAAGCAACGACACUUCUUAUGACCUUUAUGUAACGCUAAUGAAAAGGGUAGGGUACUAAAAAUAAGAGUUCGUAUAGCCUAUUGUCUAUGACUUGUGUUGUAGUCACAAACCAUAAACAAGACUCUACAUUAACUCCGACAACUCCGCUGACUGAUAAGAGAAUCCCUAGGACUCAACUAAACUUAGACCUCAGAUACCACCUUUAUCAUAGCCCAAAUUUUGGGCCGUGACCGGUGCAUGGGCCUAACGGGCAUAGCCUAUUAAGCCCAAGCAAGCCUUUUUAUGCAAUCCCGAUCAUCAUUCCCAGCCAUCAUUUCUAAAACCACAUAUUGUAAUUCUUAACUAUAAAUAUUUCAGUAACAUUUUACAGCAACCCAAUAUUCACAUUUGUAUUAUGUUAACAUAAUAUCACCCAUUUGCCAACCUAUAAUGGCAUCAGUAAUCAAAUAUACAUAUUUUAUUUUUAACAUGAAUCUUAGUGGUCUGCAUUACUUAUACGUAUACACAAGUAUAAGACUCUUGACCGUCAGCGGAGUGACCUUGGGUGAAGGUAUAGCUAUUGAGAUGCCAUAGUACCUACCAAGAAGGUGGGCAUACAUGGACAACUCAAUCUAGGUCCCAACUACCUCCGAAUCUGAAAACAUGAAGUUUAAAAGAGUGAGUAUAAAACUUAGUGAGUGAACAUAAAAAGGGAACAAGCAACCGAUACGGAAAGACUUUGAAAACAUGAUGCACUUUUGUUACAAACAAUACAAUUUAGUUUAAUUUCUUGUAAAACCCCAAAAUUCAACCUUUGAUUAUUAAAUCCCUUAGUGUUGAAAGAUCCAUGAUAAACCAUGAAGUUUAAAAGAAUGAAAGUUUCAGCAAAUGUCCAAGCAAGACAAGCAAAACAAAGGGUUUCUCGUUGCAGCGAAAAGGCAUUCUUGGUUUGCAUAUGUUUUGGUCUUUUAAGCAUAUCUUCCACUACAAAAGUCCAAUUGACAUGAGUUUUUAGUCAUUAGAAAGCUAAGAGGCUGGGCUACAACUUUGAUGUUUACUACUUUGCCUAGUUCUGAUCGGAAAGUGGUCAAAAUUGUUGUCAAAUUAAUAGCAUUGCACCACAAUUUUGGAACCACCCGAGAGUUCAUGGCUGCAAUGAGAAUCCAUUUUCGCUGCAGCGAAAUUCCUUGCUGCAGUGAGAAUCCAUUCUUGCUGCAAUGAAAUUCGGAGCAUGGAUUAAGGUUGCCUACCCGAGAGUUUCUCGUUGCAGCGAGAAACAGAGCAAUUUAGUUGAAGGGGUCUUGUUACAUUAAAAAGUCAUUUUCUUGCUGAAAUAAAAAGCAAUUUGGGAGCAAUUAAUAAUGCCAACAUACAACACAUUCACAAAUAUUUUCAUAAACUUUCUAUAACAUAUAUAUAUAUAUACAUACAUACAUCAUCAUGCAUGCCAUCCCACCACACUAAGCUCAUGUGCACUCCCUACUCGCACAUAGCCGAGUCAUCAUCAGCUCAUGUGCACUCCCACACCGCACAUAACUGGGUCAUUAUUAUCACACAAAAGGAGCAUCCAAAGCAUAAUAUACAAAUCAUCAUUAGCUCAUGUGCACUCCUACACCGCACAUAGCUGGGUCAUUAUUAUCACACAAAAUGAGCAUUCAAAGCAUAAUAUACAUAUCAAUAUAAUGUGAUAACGCAUGAACUAUUCAUAUUGCACAUUUCACAAGAUAAAAACAUUUCAUCAAAGCUUGUUCCCCAAGUAUAUUUUUUAAAGCAAAAAGAAAUGAAACUUUCAAAUGAUUUAUUUAAACAUGUAGGCACUUCCCAAAACAUUUUGAAAAGGAAGUUCACUCACCUUACGAUAGCGGGAUAUUACAUCGCUAUUUGUUCGGAGGCAUAUCUAACUAUUCCUACUUGUCGGUCGCUCGUUAUUUUUCCCUGCACACCACCACAGUAUGCUACCUUUAUUGUUGCACUUCCUAGCAACAAUCCCAAUUCAAUAUCUUUAGCGUACAUCAUUUAUACUUCCCUUUUUCAUUCAAUCACGAAUCCUUAUUCAACUUAACUUAUCUUGACACAAUUUUUACCAAAGUUGCUUUUAUCCCUUGUUUGCGUAAUUCUUUAAAUUAUGAUUACAGACAGCUUGCUUAUGACUCUAACACAUAUAUUAAUCUUUUCUAAGGAUAUUUAUCAAGUUCAACCAUCCUUUUCACAACAACCACAAUUUCUCACAAUAUGCCACUUAAAAUGUCAACUACACAACAAUACCCAUUUUCCCAAGAUUCCUUAACUACAUUUAAAACAUCAUUUGUCUUUACCUUUAUGGUUGCUUGACCCGUACUUGAACUCCAAUAUUCCUUCAAAACAUUAAUCAUCAAGCUGCCAAAAUGAUUCACACAUUAUUUCUCCAAAGAUUUAACCAACCAUAAGCUUAAAACACAAAAAUCCUUACCUUAGCUUGCUUGAAUUACAAAACCAAGCUUUUCUUCCUUUCUUUCUUUUUCUUUCUUCUUCUCCUAGGGUUUAGAUGUGCUAGAAAUUGGGGUUAGAAGCUGCAGGUUUAGUGCCCAAGAAGUUUGGAGAAGAAAGAAGUAAGAAAAGAAAGGAAAUGAAAUGAAAAUAAACAAGGAAAAUCACAUGAAAAAAUUUGAUUUUCAUGAACUUGAAAUGAAAAUGGCGUUGGAAGUUUUAGGAAAAAGAUGAAAAUAUCUUACUGGAGGAGAUAAGGACGGUCAUGGCUGAUAAAAAUGAGAGUCAAAGCUUCAUUUGAAAGCUUUGACCAAACUUUACAUAAAAUUACUAUUUUACCCUCCAAGUUUUUUCCCUUUUUACUUUAGUCUUCCCAACACUCUUUUAACUCCAAUUUUCUUCUAUUAUCUUCUUUUACACAUGUACAAAUGAAAUAUAAAGCUUGUACUCUAACGCGGCGUCUCCAUAAUAUUUAAAAUAUAUUUUUUUCUCGCAUUAGUUUUAUUUAAUAACGCGUGAGCCCCACUAGCUUCAUUUUUCUCUGAAAUUUCUUCGUUCUUCCUCUCCCCCACUUAGAUUAAUCGUAUACUCCUUCUUCAUGAAAAUUUUAGACACUGAAUAAAAUAUUAAUAUUUUAAUAUUAUUUUAUUAAUAAAAUAUUAUUUUAUUUCAAAAUUUUCCACUUGUCUCCUUGGUACCCAAAAUACCUUAUUAUGCCUCAAUUCACUUCCAAAUCACUUUUUAUCUCACAAAUUCUUUCUCGAUAAAAAUAUUAUUAUUUUAUUAUUAUUUUCUCGCAUGCGAAAUAUUUUAUCUUAAAAUACUCUUUUCACCUUUCCUCACCUUUAAACAUUAUAAUUAAUCUCAUUUGACAUCAGAUAAGUUUCAUUAGCCACCAUAUCAAAGUACGGGAUAUUAAAGCAAAGCCUUUCCGAUAAGGAUAUAUUUUGUCUUGCUUUGGAGGGUUAUGGAGUUUUAUAACCUAUCUUUUAUGAAAUGCACAAUUUCAUGGCUUAGCAAAAAAAAUGUGUUUUAGGUUCUUGAGUUUAUUAAUUUAUUCAUAGAACUCCAAAGUUGAAGAGUUGAAAUUGAUUAGAUUGAUUUUUAAGUAUUACGAGACUAGUUUUUAAGUAUUGCGUGACUUAAUCACUACGUGACUAGUUUUUAGACACUACGUGACUAGUUUUUAGACAUUACGUGAUUAGUUUUAGGCAUUGCGUGACUGGUUUUUAAAUAUAGCAUGACUGAUUUUUAAGUAAUGCCUAAGUCACACAAUACCUUACUAACUAGACAUGCAAUGCCUUACUAACAAGUCAAGCAAUGCCUAUCAACUAGUCACACAAUGCCAUAUCAACCAAUCACGCAAUGCCCAAAGUCAAUCACGCAAUACCUAAAAAUUAGUCAUGCAAUGCCUAAAGUCAGUCACGUAAUGUUCAAAGUCAGUCACGCAAUGUCUAAAAACCACUAAAACUACUGAAUUUCAUUUAACAAUAUCAAUAACUUCAAACGAUGUACCAUAUUUCAUUUAACAAUAUAAUUAAUGAAUAUGUCUAUUUGACAAAAAUACUCAAAAUAUUCAAAGGUUUUUCUUCAUAUAUCAAAAAUCACUACAAAAUGCUUAAAAAUGCUCAAAACGCUCAAAGGCUUUCUUCGUGCAUCAAAAACUACUACAAAAUGCUCAAAAUGCUUAAAUGUUUUUCUUUCGGGUAAUGAAUACUCCAAAGCUAAAUAGUUUGGCAAAGAAAGCUCAAAGAAUAUGAGUUGAUUUGAGGCGUAGACCUAAAUAUACUUGACUUGUUAAUAGGUCUCAGGUUGAGACGUGAAGCUAAAUAAGUGGAUCGAUUUCAUUAAGGGUAAUUUUAUCUAAAUUUUAAUUUUUUUAUUAAAAAUAGUUAAAAUUAGGGAGAAGUCUAUUGUCAAAAACACCUUAUACAUAGAGCUUAUUUUAAAAAAGAACCCAUGAUUUUAAGUGCUUGAUGAACUCCUUGCUUUCCAUGUUAACAGCAUGCCCUGCAUUCUUUAUCACUACAAGCUCUGCGCCGUCCCUGGUAUGUAGGGGCGGAGGGUAAGCCAACAAUGGGGGGGCCGUGGCCCCUUCAAAAUUUUUAAAAAUAUUUAUUUUAUAUAUAUUUUUUAUCAAUGGUCCCCUCAAAAUUUUUAAAAAUAUUUAUUUUAUAUAUAUUUUUUAUCAAUGGUACCCUCAAAAUNCUCCAAAAUUUUUUAAAUUUUUUUAUUUAUUAUAUAUUAUUAGUAGCCCAAUCAAAAUAAAUUUUUUUAUUUAAUAAAUAUAUAAUAAAUAAAAAAAUCAGAUAACCUCACAAACUUAACUUUAUCCUAAUUUAAAUUUCUCUACACCUUCUUUUCUUUUCUUUUCUCUUCUCUUUUGUGUCUUUUUACUUUUAUUUUUCUUUUCUUGUAACUCACCAUUAAAACAUACCCUAUUCUUCAAAAGAGAUUUAUGAGCUUGUGAGUUUGGACAAGGAAAGACAAAGAUCACCCACCAUCAUUAUGUAAAAUUAAGAAGAGGUAAAGUUUUUUUUUUUUUUUUUUUUUUUUAUUUUUUUUUAUUUAUAUUAUUUAACUAUUAUGUGAAAUCUUGUAUUUCGUAUUUAAUUAUUUAUAUUUUAUUCAUUAUAGUUUUAUGUUUUUUUUUUUAAGUUUAAAUAUAAAUAUAAUUAUUUUUAGCAAUGAAAAUUAUGAAAACAAGAUUCCGGAACAAAAUGGAUGAUGAGUUUCUUGUAGAUAAUUUAGUUGUUUAUAUUAAGAAAGACAUUGCUAGUCUUUUCACUACACAGUCAAUAAUUGAUAAAUUUGAAUUUAAGAAACAUCGUCGAACACAACUUUCUUAGAUGACUAUUAUAAGUUUUUUUUUAUUUUUUUAUUUACAUGUUAUAUAAAAUUAUUAUCUAUUAUGAAUCUUUUGAUCGUUAGUUAAAUUCAACAUAUUAUUUUUAAAAAUUUCUAACUUUUAUUUUUUUUUGUCUUUGACCCCCUAACAAAAAUUGGUUAGCUCCGCCCCUGCUAAUAUGCCUUGGCCACACAAUUCAACAUACAAAUUUUAUACUUGCACAAAAAGGACAAAUCGCAAUAUAAUACAUAAUUAAUUUCAGAUUGUUCCACUAACCUUUUUAAUCCGUGGCCUAGUUCCAUAGGGAAUAUCAGAUCUUUUUCUCCCCAGAUUAUUAAUGUGCGCUAUAAGAAAACAACUUAAAUGAACAAAAGAACAAAUCGAAAAUGAUAACACCGUCUAGGAAUUAAUGAUGUGGUGGGCAAGAUAUAAAAAGAAGAGCUGAAACCUGUGUCAUCUUAGGAAGAUUAGAGAAUUUUCUAUCUUUUAGUAUUGCCCGGAUCAACUCUCUUUUCUCUUCAAGAUAAUCCGUACACAUCACCUAGACGAGCAAGAGCGUAAAAAACAAUGAAAAUGCCAAAUUUUAAUUUGUAUCAGUGUUAAUUUCAAUUGCUUUAACAUAUCCAGGAGAUAUAAAAAGAUUGAAUUUGUUCUGAUCAUUUCCACAUUAGCCUAAUGGUAAGGGGACCACAUUUUCUAUAAGGCUUGCCACUCUAUAUUUCAUACUUGUUCUGGGGGUAACAAUUAUAAACAAGCAUUCGGCUCAUCAGAUUGAUCUUUUUCUUGCUAGAACCUGAACCAAACACAUAUCCAUAUAGGGACAAGUUAUUGGGAAAGUGAAUUUUACAUCAAUGAAAUCUGUGAGAAAAUAACUUGGCACCCACCUGCCUGCAGGCUUUACGAAGGAAAACCUCAUUAAUUCCCUCAAUUUCUCUGGCGUCUGAGGCAACAAAAUGCUCAGAGCCUCAUCCAAAUCUGCAACAUUAAAGAUACCCUCCUCCAAGCAAACACCAGCGCAGCAUAGGACCAACUUCUCCAUUUUUCUGGAAACUGCGCUGCCAUACUAUACCCCACAAACCCACCAUAGCUUAUACCCACCAGGCUCAUUCUUGGCACACCAUGUUCGUCCAUCAUCCUCAUCACGCAUUGAGCCUGGAACGACUCGGCCCGGUUGGCUCUGGUUGUGUAGGAUUCACCGAAGAAGACGAGUUCUGUACAUAGACAUUAAAUCGGGAUGUGAAGUGGCGAAGAUGCUCUCCAUAUUGCCACAUUGCAUUGGCACCAAAGCCAUGGACGAGAAGAAGAUUGGGCCUUGAUUUGUUUUGGAUUUUUGGGACCCAACAGUGCAUGACAGUGCCUUCGCCAAGAUCAGUCCUAACCGACCGAAGUCCAGCAUUGGCAAGGGAAUGGCGAUAGAACCAAUCGCGUGAUGCGGUAAAGCUGAAGCAUUUUGACAUCUUAAACUGAUGCAUUGUAAUCUCUCUAAUUCGGCCAGGAUUUCGAAUUCAGGUUUUGAGGUAUUUCAGUUCAAUGAUUUUGGUGAAGAUGAAUAAUCAUUUGGAUGUUGUCAAAUGUCAAUUUGUCAUCUAGAUCAGAUUCACUCGGGGAUUAUAAUUUCAACAUCAUUGAAAAGCUAAGGAAAAAGAAGAAAAUCUGUUGAAUGUGUUACUGUUUUUUUGGCGAAAGUCCGGAGUCGAGACGUAAACUUAAAAGCAAGCGGGAAUGUCGCAUGUUCAUAAGCAACCGAGAGAAAGAUUGGUUAUGCUAAAACCGAAAUGGUUAGGAAAUUUUGCCACAAAUUAAAAGGGAUCAUUUUGGUUGCUCGUCUGAGGGUCCAGGUAAAAGGAAACUCCUUAUAACUUAUCAGGAGGAUACUUCUAAAAGUUUUCCUUUUUUGCAAAGAUAAUGAGUGGAGAGAACUGUAUGUAAUUGGAUGCUCCCUUUCCUGUAUGGAGAAAGGACUUUUUGAUGGUCAGGAUUAAAGCUGAUGCCCAAAUUUUGGUACACAAUUCUGUAUAUAGACCAAUAGGUACCAUUGUCCUUUAACAUUGAAUUCCACUUUGGAUAAUUUUGGGCAUAGAUCAAUUUACUAGUGAUGUGUCCUUCAAUUACCGUGAACCGGCGAUGACAGAGUAUACAGGUGUAGAUACUUGAUUUUGGUUAAUAUUGUUACUCUAAAGAAUUAUGUUACAACAUAAUAUUGUACAGAGAAUAACCUGAACAAGUGAAGUGCUACUUCACGCAAAAUAAUUAAAACAAGUGAAGCGCUACUUCACGCAAAACAACUAGAACAAGUGGAGUACUACUUAAAGCAAAACAAUUAGAAUAAGUAAAGCACUACUCCAUAUGGAACAACUAAUAUAAGUAGAAUAGUUACUUCGAAUAGAAUACCACUUCACUCGAGUAACAGUGAAAGUAACUUGAAAUAAGUGGCAGGGUUCAUGGGUUACUUUCAUCUUGGGAUGUUCCGGAGAGUUUGGCUUGGUGGCUCAGAUAUGGAGGUAAUUAAGAGGUCUUCCUCCUAACCGUUUCCUGAAGUACAAGUGUCUCACCCUUUUACCUUGUUCUCGUACACCUAUUCAUGUAUAGCUUCUCUUGUACCUAUUCUCGUAUAGCUCCUUCUCUUGUACCUAUUCUCGUAUAUCUCUUUUCUAUUACCUUUUAUUUGAGAAUAAGUUUUAUUACAUCUAAUUACAGUAACGGUUACUCACAUUUAUGUUCUUCAUAAUAAUGUCAUUUAUUAGGCGCAUUAAAUCCUAUUCUUGAGUAACCGCCACUUUUAGCACUAUAUAUAGAGCCUCACAAUUCAUUUAGAGGGGCUCUUCCCCCUAGAGCUAACACAUUCUCAACUUGAGAGCUUUUCUCUCUAAAUUCUGUCUCUAAUUCUUUUCUACUCUUUAGUUCUUUUCUUACUUUAUUCUAUCUGUCACUACACUCAGUACUUCAGGAACUGCUCCAAUCUUCCUCUCUGUCGCCUCCGGCGCAUCAUUUUCCUUAUUUGCAACGCUUCCUCUCCCCAUCACAAGAACCCCCUUUACAUUUUGGCGACUCCACUGGGGAGGAGUGAUUACAUUAAGUAAAAGCUUACUAGAAAAACUUUGCGUUAUUGGAAGAAAUAAACAGUUCCUUUAGUAACCAAGAUGCAUCUAUUCUCACCUACAUCCAAAAGCUGAUGAAAAUGAUUGAGGCUUCUUGAGAGAGAAUGCAAAUGUUAGAAGUCAACAAUAAGCGGAUGUUGGAGACCAUAUCUCAACUUGCAUCCUUCACUUCCACCAUUUUUCAAGCUCAAUCUGUACACUUUAAUGAGAGUGCACCUGACGAAGUCAUUCCUCUAGUUACAAACACUAAGGGGAAUGAAGGAAAUGGAGAAACUGCAAUUGAUGUGGAUGUUUAGGGAGGAGUUCUACUUCUCUACUCAAGAGAAGGUUAAUCUCCUUGAUUUGGGAACAAAAUAUCAAAAGUCCAGAGAAGACCUCGUGGAAUACAUCUAACACUUUAGAGAAAGGGUGUUGGAUAUACAAGAAUCUUAUGAUGAGAAGGAGUUGGUGACGAUUUGCAUUUAAAAAAAAAAAUGUUUGACGAGUGUAGGCUACACUAGCAGAAUUUACCUCUUCCAGCUUUUGCUACCUUAAUGGAAAUGGCACGAAGAAUCAAUAAUACGGUUCUCAAACAAAAUAGAGCUACUCGCUUCGAUAGAAAGAAUACUCCAACAGUGAAUGCAAUUUAAGGAAAAGGUAGAGAAAGAAGAGAUUCUUUUUAAAAGGGAAUAUUCCAUAAGAAAAUGCAAGCAGAAGAGUUGUUGAUUGAGAACAACAAGGUCCAAAACAACCCGCUUCCUGCUCAUGUAUGAUAUUUCUAUGACUUUAACUCUUCAUCGCUUUAUGAAUUGUAAUUUGACAUUAAAAAAAAUUCAUAUUCAGCUGCUAGCUUUAUCGCUUAUAUUUUGGUUGUAAUUGUAUUAUACUAUUAGUUGCCAGCUUUAGCACUUAUUCUUUGACCAUAGUUCAUCAUUCUUACUUCAGCCACAAGCUUUACCACUCAUAUUUUGGCUGCAAUGAUAUUUUUCUUUUGGUCGCAAGCUUUAUCGCUUAUUCUUUGACCAUAAUUUAUUAUUCACAUUCCAGUCGCUAGCUUUAUCGCUCAUAAUUUGGCUGUAAUGAUAUUAUGCUAUUGGCUACUAGCUUUAUCGUUCAUUUCUUGACCCUAGCUUAUCACUCACAAAUUGGCCACAGCUAUUACACUCACUUAUUUUAAGGGUUGAAUUAAUCUCCUUUAUGUCAGGCUAGAGUUGAUCUCCUUGAUGUAAAGUUGAGAGUUCCCUUUUGGCCACACACAAUAAUAUGAAAUGUGAAUAAAUACGCAACAAGCGUAUAACAUUAUUAUUAUUACAAAAGAAAAAGAAAUAUGAUAUAUCAAUAGAGAAGUACUAGUUCAAAUGAGCUUUCAAAAAGAGUAAAGGAAAAGCAAAAGACUAGUCAAUUACAUACUCUAUAGAGAAGAGUUAUUAUUGACAAAUACAUCUAAUUGUUCUUGUACUUCAGCUUCACAUUUUUUCAGUAAAGCUAUCUUCGCUGCAAUGUCUUCUAACUCAUUCUCCAAGGAAGACUUGUUGAGAAAAAUCUUGGCUUUAGAUCUACAAUCACUGAGGCACUCAAGCUUGAAUCCAAAGUUACAAGCAUCAUUGAAAUCCUGUAACAUCUGUUGCAAUUCCUCUAGUGAAGUACUCAUUAGUGGAGCAUGGGAAAUGGCUAAAGCUCUACCCAACACUUCCAUCAUUAAGCAAAUGACGUCUACGUUCUUUACAAAGAAGGUACUCCAAAACUCUCCCUCUAUAUUGAAAACAUGCUCCAAGUAUGCCACAUACUCUAAUGAAACUUGAAAGCCAUGGAAGUCAACUCUCUUACCACUUUGUUCAGUAUGUACUACUUGAGUUCCAGAAGCACUACUUGCAUCUCUAUGUUCUGGCAAUGGGGAGGAAGAAGCACGAGGAGUCAUUGGAAUAGCUCUAACAUCAUCAGUAUCAACUCCAACAUCAUGAAUAACCUCAACAUUUGGAGUAGACUCAGGAACAACUUCAACAGCAGGAAUAGUCUCAAUAUCAAGAACAACCUCAUCUCGAAUAGCUUGCGGAGUAAGAGUAAUCUUAAUUUAAAAAAAAAAAAGGAACGGAACAACAUCAAUCGGAGUUACAUAGUAAUAUGUUUAUACCUGGUUCAUGGUAGAGUUCUGAACAUGAUUUGGAAAUAAAACAUCCAAAUCAAUGAAAUCAUCAAAAGGGGUUGGCUCACCCUCAACUUCAGCUUUAUCAACAUCAACUGAUUCAUCAUCAGAUUCAUCACUACGUUCAAAGUCACUUGAUUCUUCCUCAGUCUCAGCUUCAAAGGUCUCUUCCUCUUUAACAGAGUUAAGUUCUACUUUCGCAGUUGUUUCUCUCUACAAAAAAAAAAGUAUGAUAAGGAAAUGAAUUUAAAAAAAAAGUAGAAGAAGAAGUAAAGGAUGAACUUACUUUUCGAUGCACAUGUUUUGUUUGAUAAGUAAGAGCGCGAGAAGCAUCAUCUUCAUUUACACUUCUUUUCUUUUUGAGAGAAAUCAAGCGUAAGGAUACAUUGGAGUUACUUAUAGGAGGAGUGUAGAGACAAGCUCUGGGAUUAGUCAAAGGCAUAAUAAAAGAUCUCCAUUCUGCAACACACUCCAUCCAAUAAGCAAACCAUCCAGAAGUGUGGAUACCAACUCUAUCAAAAGCUGGGACAGUACAACUCUUAAGUUUAUCUAAACGAAGUUGAAGUUUUGCCAUGAGGAAUGAAGAAACGCAAGAAGAAAAAUUGAUAGUUGAAGAAGAGUCAGACGGAGCUGGUUGGUCAAACCCAAAUUGGCGUGCCACUCUAAAAGGAGAAUAUACCUCAACAGAAAGAAUAUUUCUAUCUCCACCUGAACUGGAACUCUCAAUCAUAGAUGGCAAUUAGGAACUGUGAACCCAUACACAAAAGUUAAUACCUUGUGAACUCAUUCUUCCAAACUGUAGAGGGUGGUGAUCAUAAUAAAUUUCAGGAUUAGCGAAUCCAUUUAUGGGCUGCACAUAAGGUCUGGGAUUGAAUUCUUUUGUCACAUCCAUCACUUCAAUAACAUUACCUCUCGGGAGUUGAUCAUGCCAUGCCCAAGCUCUGUAGUUAUUCUUGGAUAAAGGGUUAUUCACAGAAAAAUAUGCAAAAGGAUAUACAUUAGUCAUGGGUGGGCAAGUACCAAACCUUUCCCAUAGGCACAUCUGAAUCAAGGAAGCAUCCACAUAAGUCAAAACUUUGUAACGCCUAGCUGACUCAACAGUUUUGAGUUGGAACAUGUCUAAUCUUUUAUAUAGUGAUCCUAAAUAUAGUGGAGCAAGAGAAAAACGUAUUCCUUUAAUAAUUUUUAUUACUAAAGGAACAACUGUUGGAGAGAUACCAUCAUCUGGACACCUUGGGAGUAUGUGUCGUGCCAACCAAAAGAUUACUAAAGCCACCAACUCAUGCUUAUGGUUUGGGUACUCAAGAGAACUAAUCUCAAUUCCCUUAGCAUUGAACUUUUUAUAAAAAAAAACCCUAUCCAAUUGGAGAAUCGUGCAACCUUCGAAGCUUUACUUAGACUCUUAAGUAGAUCGAAGAAAAAAUCUCGAGUAUAUACCUCUUCUUCAGAAAGCUUAAUAUAGUGAAAUCAUCCUUUCCUAUACAAGAAAGUUCCAAGAUAACACAUACAUCUUCUAGAGUGAAGGUAAAUUCCCCCCAUGCAGUAAUCAUAGUAUGAGAAAACGUACUCCACCUCGCAAGAAUAGCACGCCACACAUCCAUCAUUUUUUCUGUAAGAAUAUUGAGCUUGGAAGUGAUUCGUAUAGCAUCAAGUAUCCUAGCAGAAGAGAGAACUUUAACAUAAGAAUGAUUCUUCAACUCCUUAGUUACCCAUUCAUCCUAACCAUGAACAAAUUGAGAAUUGGAGCCUAACUUAGUAGCAGAAAGGGGAAACUCACUAUGUUCAAACCUGAAUUUCAUAAUAGAUUGUCCUGGAAUACCACUUCUUCUAUGAGGAGGUGCUUCUUAGUAUAGACAAUUCCAAUCAUAUCCAACAAACUCAAAGGUAUGUUUGUCAACCUGUCUGACACAAACUUCUUCCCAAAAACGAUUUUCUCCUCAUUCUCUAAUAAUUUCAUCUUCUCAAUUUUCAAGAACAAGAAGAACUUUAUCAUUCUUUCCUACUCUAAUUUUCUUGGGAGCAACUAAUUUAGAAUCAUUAUUCUUCCUUUUAUGUGCAGUGAUUUUCUUUCUUGUUGCAGCCCUUCUAGGCUCACCAUAAUUGAUCUUCGGAGGGACACGCGUCCUAGGUAUAGAGGAUGAUGGAAAAAGCUACCUACAAACAUGAUCAUGAAAAAAGAGAUAAGUAUAAAUACACAAUAAUUUUUCAUUUUUACUUAUUUAUUAUGCAUGAAAAAAAAAUCACAAUCACAAAGUAAAACAAUAAAACUUAUCAAAAUUAUAUAUUUUGAUAUUAUUAUUUUUAUGUAUGCAAUAUAAAUAUAUAUAAUAAAUAAAUAAAACUUAAAAAAAUUUACAACUUUAAAUAAAAAUAAUAUAAUAAUUAAAAAUUAUAAAAAAAAUAAAAUAAUAAUAACUUGCCGCAUAAACCGCGAGCUUUAAAAGAAAUAGCUCGCGGUAUAUGCCGUGAGCUCCAAUAGAAAUAGCUCGCAGCAAGUCGCGAGGUCAAAAGAAAGCUCCAAAACAAAGGUGCCGCACAAGCCACAAGCUUUAGCACCAAAACCAAGUAAAAAAAAAAAAUAUAUAUAUAUAUAUAAUAAAAAAAUUAAAAAUUAAAAAAAAUUAAAAAAAAUAAAAUAAAUAUAAAAAAAAAUUAAAAAUUAAAAAAAAAUUAAUUAAAAAAAUUAAAAAAAAAAAAAAAACGCAGCUUGUGCUGCUAAUAAAUAAGAGGAGAAACAAAAAGUCAACUAAAAAAAAUAUUAUUAUAAAAUUAAAAAAAAAAAAUUUUUGUUCAAAUUGGAGUAGCUCGCGGCAUGUACCGCGAGCUCUAAUNNNNNNNNNNNNNNNNNNNNNNNNNNNNNNNNNNNNNNNNNNNNNNNNNNNNNNNNNNNNNNNNNNNNNNNNNNNNNNNNNNNNNNNNNNNNNNNNNNNNNNNNNNNNNNNNNNNNNNNNNNNNNNNNNNNNNNNNNNNNNNNNNNNNNNNNNNNNNNNNNNNNNNNNNNNNNNNNNNNNNNNNNNNNNNNNNNNNNNNNNNNNNNNNNNNNNNNNNNNNNNNNNNNNNNNNNNNNNNNNNNNNNNNNNNNNNNNNNNNNNNNNNNNNNNNNNNNNNNNNNNNNNNNNNNNNNNNNNNNNNNNNNNNNNNNNNNNNNNNNNNNNNNNNNNNNNNNNNNNNNNNNNNNNNNNNNNNNNNNNNNNNNNNNNNNNNNNNNNNNNNNNNNNNNNNNNNNNNNNNNNNNNNNNNNNNNNNNNNNNNNNNNNNNNNNNNNNNNNNNNNNNNNNNNNNNNNNNNNNNNNNNNNNNNNNNNNNNNNNNNNNNNNNNNNNNNNNNNNNNNNNNNNNNNNNNNNNNNNNNNNNNNNNNNNNNNNNNNNNNNNNNNNNNNNNNNNNNNNNNNNNNNNNNNNNNNNNNNNNNNNNNNNNNNNNNNNNNNNNNNNNNNNNNNNNNNNNNNNNNNNNNNNNNNNNNNNNNNNNNNNNNNNNNNNNNNNNUUUUUUUUACUUGAAUAUAUAUAUAUAUAUAUAUAUAUAUAUAUAAUUCUUUCAAUAAAAAAAAUUCAUCUCAUGCAAGAAAAGUUUCUUAUUUCAUAUUUUAACUUGGAGAUAUAAAAAAAAAAAAAUUCAUGCAAGGGGCAACAAAUAAGAGAAAUUCAUUUAAAAAAAUAAAAAUAAAACAAGAAAUUAUAAGAGAAAGAAAAAUUUACUUACUUAAAAAGAUUCGCAAAAGAAUCGACUUUGUUCUGAAAUUUGAAUAUAAAUGAAAAAAAUUGUUCAUAGUAACUUAAUAUUUAUAAGCCACAUAGAAUCAAGGUUUUUUAUGAAAAAAAUAUUAAAUAUUAUUACAUAAUCAAUUAAAUAUUAUAAAAGAUAUUGACAUUAAAAAAAAGAUAAUCAAAUAUUACGAAAGUAUUAAAUAUUAUUGCAUAAUCAAUCAAAUAUGACAAAAAAUAUUGACACUACAAAAAAAAAUUUUGGUAUUACACCUUACACAAAGCAUUACUGUCUAAAGCAUUACUAGCUAAGAUGUUACUGUCUAAAGCAGCACUGCCCAAGGCAUUACUGCUCAAAGUGAUACAGCACAAUACGUUACAAUACAAAAAAAAAAUUUAUACUUUAAAUUAAUACAGAAGAAAUAUUUUUAACAAUGAAUUCUUAUGCAGGGGGCAAAAUGUAGAUACUUGAUUUUGGUUAAUACUGUUACUCUAAAGAAUUAUGUUACAACAUAAUAUUGUACAGAGAACAACUUGAACAAGUGAAGUGCUACUUCACGUAGAAUAACUAGAACAAGUGAAGCGUUAUUUUACGCAAAACAACUAGAACAAAUGAAAUACUACUUAAAACAGAACAAUUAGAAUAAAUAAAGCACUACUCCAUAUAGAACAACUAAUACAAGUAGAAUAGCUACUUCAAAUAGAAUAAUCACUUCACUUGGGUGACAGUGAAAGUAACUCUGAAUAAGUGGCAGAGUUCAUGAGUUACUUUCAUUUUGGGAUGUCCCGGAGAGUUUGGCUUGCUAGCUUAAAUAUGGAGGUAGUUAAGAGGUCUUUCUUUUAACCUUUUCCUGAAGUACAAGUGUUUCACCUUCUUACCUUGUUCUCGUAUACCUAUUUAUGUACAGCUUAUUCUCUUGUACCUAUUCUCGUACAGCUUCUUCUCUUAUACCUUUUUCUUGUAUAUCUCUUUUCUAUUACCUUUCACUUGAGAAUAAAUCUUUUUACAUUUAAUUACAGUAACGGUUACUCACAUUUAUAUUUUUCAUAAUAAUAUCAUUUAUUAGGCGCAUUAAAGCUUAUUCUUGAGUAACUGUCACUUUUAGCACUAUAUAUAGAGCCUCACAAUUCAUUUAGAGGGGCUCUUUCUCUCAUAACUAACACAUUCUCAGCUUGAGAGGUUCUCUCUCUAAAUUCUCUCUCUAAUUCUUUUCUACUCUUUAGUUCUCUUCUUACUUUAUUCUACCUGCCACUCAGUACUUCAGGAACUACUUCAAUCUUUCUCUCUGCCGCCUCCGACGCAUCCUUUUACUUGUUUGUAACGCUUUCUCUCCCUAUCACAAGAACUCCCUUUACAACAGACGAUGGAUAAAGAGAUUCGGCUCGUCUCUUUUUUAUUUUUGAACAAGAGAGACCAGUUCAUGGAUAGAUAAGAAACCACCUCAUGAUAUAUCACAUCAUUCAAUAUAAAAAAUGAAAAUUUUAACCUCGUUGGCAUUUUUGAUUGCGGUUCUCUUUUCUCUUUGCUUAAGCACAAACCCGUACGUAAAAUCUGAAAACCCGCAAAUGAAGCCACUAACCAACUUGGAUCUAGGAUUCAGUUUUUAAUUUGCAGAAAAAACCCCAUAUCUCUUUAUUAAAUUCUCAAGCUCCUUUUUUCUUUUUGGUCCUUCUGUCAACCCCUUUUCCAACGAUGAUGUAUGUGAUCAAAGUUUUUUUUUUUUUUUUGAAGAGCCAAAACGACAAUCAAAAAGUAAUUUAGAGGAGCACUAGAAUUUGCAGAUGGAGUCCCAAAUCUUAAGCAGCGAUAGUAUUUUUUAGUUGUCUAGGCCCAUGAGUCACUAUGAACGAUGUCAAACAAAGUUGUUUGAUUGUUGCAUGUUUGAAAUUCUUAUGAUGACAUUGAAGGAAAGUGAUCUUUGCCUUAUCAGGGUUAUAUGGGUUUAGAGGUGCCACAUUUUUUUGUAAGUAGCGCCAUAGUGUUCUACCGUCUAGCUGAGCUCUUACUGUCAUCAGAAGUCUUUUGUCGCUUUUCUAUGAGACUUUAAGUGACAUAAUGGCUGCAGUUAUUAAUGAAAGUUUCUUUAAGCCUAUCAAACAAAGAAAAAAAAAAGGUUGCUGGCUGGAAGCAUGGAAUUCUGUCAAGGCUAUUACUUUAUGAUCAGAUCGAAAAUCAAGAAGCACGAGUCACGGGAAUCUGUGUUUUGGGUUUUAGUUUUUUAAUUUGCACAUGAGAUGUGAGCAGAGGUAAACACAAUGAACAAUAAUAUUACUAAAGCUACUAUCAACCAAAAAAUAGUUUUAGCAAUUUUUUUGAGACUUCUAGAAUUUUCCAUUCUUAUUUUUUCUAACUACCGGCAGGAUUUGAAGAGGAUAUAAGUUAAAAAGAAGUCUUAAGAAGUAAAUAGAGUUAUAGAGAAAAAGAAAACAGAUGAUUAUAUGUCUGACAAUCCAAUGUACUUUAACAAGGUAACUACCUUGAACAGCCUAAGCUUAGAAUUGCUUGAUGACAUGGUGUAUUUAGAGCCAUAGAUUUCAACUCUAGCAAGAUGGUGUCUCAUCCCUAGUCGACUGGAAUCUCCAGUUAAAUUUUCAACCGGCAGUUCUUGUUAUCUAAUCAGUGCCUUUGUGCAAACUUCACAAAGGGAUGAUAGCAACCGGUAAAGCACAUCAAUAUACUAUUCAAGUACUCAAGUUAGCAAGUGACACACAUGAUAAACCAGUGAUUCUGGUGAAUUACUGUGGUUCAAGGUGGCAGCGCACCAGUGGAGUCAAGGUGGCAAGUCAAUCUUCAGACUCCAGAAGCGCUGAUUGGCAAACACAAAAGAACUAAUAUUAUUGGUAGGAUCCCAAUUCAAUUCUAUAGAUAACCCAAAAUUGAAAGAGAUAUAUUAGUUAGCUUUAUUCGUGUGAAGAUGAAUUCACACUCUAUUAUUCUUCUUGCCAUAAAAAUAAUGUCUUCGCAUGAAUAUUAUAUGAUUAUUAAUUUUGAUCUCAUUGUAGCAAUACAUUAACAAAAACAAAUGAUAAAAUGGAUUUUUCCGCAGGGGAGGGUGAAGUGAUGUUGAUACUUGAUGGAUUUAAUAGUCCAGCCGAAACCAGGACAAUAUGAACAGUUGCAUAACUUAAAGGGUACUUUAACUUACUUGUUCACAUCAGGAUGAUAAUUCCUGGCAAGCUUUCGAUAGGCUGAACAUGGAAAGGGUAUAAUCAGUAAAAAUAAAUCAAAAGAAAAUAUAUUUAUAAUUCUAAGUUACAUUAUUAUAAUGGGUGAAGGAACUAUUACAAAAGGGAUUCUCCCAGAUACUUGGUAUGUAUGGCUCACUUAGCAAUAGGAACAUAAUAGGGAUUGAACUCGCAAUCAAUGACUCUUGGAAACCAUCAAAUUAGAGCCCAAGGAGAGGUAAAGUAAAGGAAAAAGAGAGAUUUAACUGGAUCCAUUGAUCUAUAAGCUUUCAAUGAGUAUGAUGACAGUAAAGUAUGCAAGGUGAAGGGAAAGACAACUCCUCCCACUGCAGAAUGCAUAGAAUAUUUGUCCAUAGAGUUACUAUGAAAGGAUAGUGACUAUUCAAGACAAGCUGUCUUCAAGGCCAGGAAUGGUAGAUAAAUAUUCAACUCUACCGUAUGAUGAUGUAUGGUCAAGACUAGAGCUCAGUUAAAUAAUGAAUGUGAGAUUGUUCCACAAAGACUCUAGUGGAGCAGGAAGAAAAAUUAGGGGAAGAUGGUGAUACACAGACCUCAAGGCCAGUCACAAAAAGAAAAGGCCAUCAUAUGUGCCAUGCAAAGUGAAAAAUAGACACAUAAGGUACAAAAAUAACAGACAACAAUGAUCAGGGUACUGUAUUCACCGCUUUUUAUGUCUGAUUUGCUGGCACUUUUAGACACCCCAAGGAUGGAAUAAUAAUCCUGCAAGAACAUAUUUUGAAUGAAAUAGAUAUGCAUGCAGUUUGGAAACAAAAUACCAGAAAUCAGGGGAAAAAAGAACCACCAGGAAGAAAGACAACAGAACGUCAGUUGUUACCAUAACAAUAACUGUACUGAAAAAGGAAAAUUGGAUGAACACUCACCUGAGUAGCUUUGACAAUCAGACGCCUUGCCAAGUGGUGACAUGGCCUUUUAGAUGACGGUGAAUGGAAUAAAGUAUGGGUCAAAUUUUGAGAAAAAAUGCUUGAACUUGAAAAUGAUAAUGCUCUUAUCUCAGUUAACACAGUGCAUAAUAGAACAGAACACAAUAAAAUGAUGAUCUAAGGGAAAAAUCAGCAUUGAUUUUUUGCAGAUAAGAACACAUCAUCUGGAAGACAAAAGUUGCAGCUACUAAAAAAAGGAAUUAAAAAUUUUACUGCUAAGGGAAAGACAUUUAUUAAAAGAUGUUUUAGUACAUUUAGGAACGUAGUACCAAAAAACCUUAAAUAUUUUCCUUUUAAAAUGAUGCUACUACUUUCUAUCCAAAAAACUAAAACAUGAUCAAUAUACACGAAGCCGAUUCUUAAACCUUUAUGGAGAGAAUCUCACCGUCCUUGAGGUAUCCGCAAUUUGUUUGUAUUAGAGCUUGACAUAAAUUGACGUCGGAAUCCUGACCAAGUCACCGUGGUGUUCGCCAUACAAAACUCUGUAUCAAGGAAUCAAGACUUAUCAAAUAGUUUAUAUUUUGCAGUUUUGCCAACACCACACAAAGAAUGUCGCCUUCGCAUGUGCAGUUGGCAUACAGUACACCGGAGAUAAGAGAAAACAAACAGUGAAAGGAAAAUGAUCAGGACAAUCUUGCUAGAAAAGCAAUCAAGACACCCAAAAUCUUAAAUCUUUUAGACAUGUAGAGAGCAUUGUAGAUUACAGAAACAAAAAGAUGUAAAGAAGAUGGGUUAUUUCUGAUGGACUAACCCGAAACUGCCAAAUAUAGCCCUUCUUCUCAGUUUUCGGGUUUGGGUUCCGCUGUUGGUAUUGAAUUAUGCACUGCGUGCGGUGCGGCGCGGCUCCUGUCCUGGGGCAGCUGUGGGUGUGGAGGGAAAGGUUUGAAAGCAGAGAAACGUUUGCUUAGUUACAUGUAAAACGGCUCCGAUACCAGCCUGCGGAAGACAGGAGUGUCUUCUAGAAACUGUCCAUACCUCUACAUUUUGCGGCAGCAUAAAUUUACAUAUUAUUAUAUUAUUUAUUACUUGUAAAUUCUAUAUUAGGCAUGUUUUUAUAAAUCUAUAAUACUAUUUAAAACUAAUUUUACUUUAGUGACACUAACACAUUGUGGUAAAUAAUUAAAAUUAGAAUUUUUGCAUACUCAUUAGGUGCGCGAGAAAUGAAAAAGCAAAAAAAAAAAAGAGUUUUUGGCAACUAACAAGGUAGAUUUUUAUAUGUGCAUGUAAAAUAAUUAAAAAAUUGUACCCACUUAGUAACUUAAUGGAUGUGCAAAAAUCCAGUAUAAAAUGAGAUCAUUUCACCUACGAUUUUUUAGCUACAAUCUUACAUUUAUUUAAUUACAAAAUAUGAGUUAUAAGUAUGACUAUAUAUACAUAAUAUUUUAAUGGACUGUCAUAAAGGUUUGGAGGAUCCUUAUGGGGAGGAAUUGAAAAGGAGGACCGAGGGAAUGGCGGGAAAUGAGGAGGCUUUGUUUGGGUUUAUGAGAGAUUUGGGUGGGCAGUGGUGUAGUAGGAGAAGGAAGAGGAGGAUUGUUAAUGCUAGUAUUUUAGGAGACUCGUUGCCAGUGGGGUGGAAGCUUUUGUUGGGGUUAAAGAGGAGGGAAGGUCGCGCCUCGGUUUAUUUCCGUAGAUACCUGAGGUGAUUACUUGUUCAUUUCUUUGUAUGUUCUUUUAGUUUCACUGCGAUUGUGAACAAAAAUUUUAGUAGUUUUCUUUAUUGGUUUUUUUAUAUUAAUUAAUCAUAGACACUUAAAUACUGAUUUUUGGCAUCUUUAUGAGUUAUGAAACAGCACUUUCCUGACUAAUUAGAGAUUCAUAUCAUGCAUAAACUUCAAUUUCUCUCUUAGGCAUUAUCUUUCCCUUUUUUUUACAGUCCUGGUGGACGGUAAUUUGUAUCAUGUAAAGAACUUUCUGCGUACUUGCAAUCCUACUUUGGUGGACUCCAUGAUGCACAUCUGACGUUGGAUAAAGAUGGUGACAUUGCUCAGCAGGUCCAUCAAAUGGUUUCUGAAAAUGUAAGUGAGGUUUGUCUUAACUUUGGUUGAACCCAUGACAGAAACUGGAAUACUUAACAUUGUUCGAUAUGGUCAUGCAAUAGCAGGGAGGUAUCGUCCAGAAAGAGGAUGAUCGAAGGCGGUCUGAUGAACAUGAGAAGGAAGUCAACUUGCUGGGUAUUGAUAACCUGGCGGAAGUUCAAAUACAUGAUCUUUUUGAAUGCCAUAAAUGCAAUAUGACAUUUGAUGAGAAGGAUGCAUAUUUACAGCACCUUCUGUCAUUUCAUCAGAGGACUACAAGGAGGUAUAGACUUGGUUCUUCUGUUGGGGAUGGUGUGAUACUUAGAGAUGGAAAAUUUGAAUGUCAAUUCUGUCAUAAGG
rnacentral:lncRNA from 1 species